UUUUUUUUUUUUUUUUUUUUUUUGGUUUAGUAGUGGGGAGAGAGUUUGUUUGGAUUAUAUGUAUUUACAUGUGAAAUCAAUCUGGGUUCCUGAAAAAAAAAAAAAGAGAAAUCAAUCUGGGAAUUUAUGGAUUGCAGUUGUGGCGCCAGGAGGCACGGGCAAUCAAAAUCUAUCUACCUACCUAUUACUCCCUCCGUCCCACUUUAAUAGUUCUAUAUUUCUUUUUCAUCUGUCCCAAAUUAUAGUCCACUUUCCAAUUGAAAAAUAUAGUUAUAUUUUAAUUUUCCUAAAAUAUCCUUAUUCAAUGCAAGUAGUUGUUACUAUAAACCUAACACAUUUAAUGAGAGUUGAUUCUUUUUUCACCAUCAAUUCAAGUUCUCAUAAAGUUGUACCAUAUUUAAUGUGAGGGUAUUUUAGGAAAAUAGCAAUCUAAAUUUACUUUUCUAACAAAAUUAAUUACUUUUUUUUAAAUUGUGUGAAAAAAGAUACAGGACUAUCAAAGUGGGACGGAGGGAGUAUAUAAGAAAGAAGCGAGAUUACUGUAGCAGUCUCUAUGACUGUCAAAUGGCUCCCAUUUAGUUUGACAUGUGGAUCAUUAAUCCUUUGAAGAAGCUAUCUAUAUUAUUUUUCCUUUUUCUUUUGGUUUUCUUUUUUCCCUCAUUUCUUCUUUCCUUUUUGGCAAAAGACAACAACCACAAGAAUCUUUAUCCUUAUCUACACUAUCACUUGCACGUUCAAUUUUCACUCUGUUCUCUUUUCAUUUUUUUUCUCUUUUUUUUGCUUCACCCUAAUCGUUUACUCUGCUUUUGUUUUUUCUAUUGAAUUAGUUGAUGCAUUUUUUUUUCAAAAUUUUCAUAAUUAACUAAAUGAAUGGUUUUUGUUGUUGGAGUGGAUGAGGGAAGACAGCAAUUUUUGUUGAGGGAAGCUAACAAUUUUUCCUCAAUUGAAAUUCAUUCCAAUUUUAGUUUUCAUUUAUUAAAAUUGUUAUUUAAUAAUAGGCUAAUAGUGCUGGAAUGAAGGAGGAAGAAUUUGACAAGUGAAGAUCCAAGAUAAAUGAUGACUAGGAAGGAAAUAGAGAGGUCUAUUUUUUAGUGAGAUUACUGUAGCAGUCUCUAUGACUGUCAAAUGACUCCCAUCUAGUUUGACAUGUGGCUCAUUAAUCAUUUGAGAAAGCUAUCUAUAUUUUUUUCCCUUUUUCUUUUGGUUUUCUUUUUCCCUUCAUUUCCUUUUUCCUUUUUGGCAAAAAACAACAACCACAAGAACCUUCAUCCUCAUUUAUACUAUCACUUGCACGUUUAAUUUUCACUCUGUACUCUUUUCAUUUUUUUCCUCUUUUUUUUGCUUCGCCCUAAUCGUUUACUCUGCUUUUGUUUUUUCUAUUGAAUUAGUUGAUGCAUUUUUUUUUAAAAUUUCCAUAAUUAACUAAAUGAAUGGUUUUGUUGUUGGAGUGGAUGAGGGAAGAUAGCAAUUUUUGUUGAGGGAAGAUAACAAUUUUUCCUCAAUUGAAAUUCAUUCCAAUUUUAGUUUUCAUUUAUUAAAAUUGUUAUUUGAUAAUAGGCUGAUAGUGCUAGAACAAAGGAGGAAUAAUUUGAAAAGUGAAGAUCCAAGAUGAGUGAUGACUGGGAAGGAAAUAGAGAGGUCUAUUGAAUUUAAAAUUAAUCAAAGUCUGUUAAUUUAUAGAUAGAUAAUUAUAUUUCCAUAUUUUGAUUUAUUUAAAAUUUCUUAAUAGCGACAAAUGGUUAUUUACUAGAUGAGAACGAUGAUAUGUAAAGGAAUUGUUAGGGCUACUAACUUAGGAUAUGAAUAAAAUAUUUCGUAUAAUCUCUUCAUUUUGGGUUACUGACUUGUAUCCAUGAUAGGUGGUUUAUUUUCAUAGUAUGAUAGUUUGAGAAGACAAGAAGUGCAGAAUUAGAUUUUAAAAUCAUUUGCUUAAGUUGGUUCUAUGAAUUUGUUUUUUUUUUUAUCACUUUUAUUGUCCUAAUGAUAAUAUAAGGUAGAUGUGGAACUGGAUAUAUCAUGACUAUUUGGCUGAAGUAGUUGAUAAUUUUUUAUAAACUCAAGUAGCUGAAUUGAUUGCUGUUGUUAAGGAAUUGCAAUUAGUGGUGGAAGUCAAAAUUGAGACUUUUAACCUAGAGAGUGAUUUGACAAAAAAUUUGUUAAAAAAUUCAAUCUUGAUUAAUAAGAUAUUUUUGCGAUCAAAUAAAUGGUUGGUUUCGAAUUUGUACAUGUACAUUUGCAAACAUGGCAGUUCAUAUUUUUAUCUAAUAUUGCUAUUUGUAUUCUCAAACUGUUUGGCAGAUAAUGUUAUCACCUAUUUGUAAUGCUAUUAAAAAGGAUUUAAAUGGAUGGAUUAACAACUCGCCUUUUCUCUAAAAAAGACAAAAAAACAAUGUGUAGGUUUGUAUGUUUUGAAAAGGAUAGAAAAAUAUGCAAGUUUGUAUGUUUUAUUGAUGUUGAAAAUUGUGACAGAUCUUGGCAAUUUUCUAAACUUUUUUCUAAUUAUUAAACUGCUAGAAGUAUUAUGACUACUUUUGGUUUAGUCACAAUUAAAGCUAUGCUGCCAUUAAAUUGGCAAUGUAGUGUACUUAUUAUCUCUCCUUUUUUUGGUAUUAUUAUGCACACAUAGAAUUGGUUCAAAAAUCUUUGUCCAAAUCACAAUAAAUAGCAGACUAACUUCAUAAACGAAAUUUCUCUUCAUAGCAAAUUUUAAUUGUUUUGAUGCUCAAAAUUUCUCCUGUAUUUACCAAAAAGAUUUAUUGCUCUAUGUUUAACUAAACUUCUAAGGGGCACAGCACGGCCAAGAUACAUCUACUAGUAGUAUAAAUAUGGUGUAGAAAACAAAAUGUAUUAGUGGACUGAGAUUUUUUUUCCUUUUUAUUUAACCAAAAAUUUUUUUUUUUUACUUUUUCUGUUGUCAUGCUUUUGGGGCAGGUUAUAGGGUACCCGCCCUUAAAAAAAAUAUUUUCCAAUAAAAAAUAUUUUUCAUUUAAUAUCAAUAUGUUUUCCAAUAAAAAAAGUAUGCUUUCCAAUUAACAUUGGUAGAGAUAUUAUAAUCAAAAUCCAUGCAUCACCAUUCUCACACAUUUCAUCCAAUAAUCAAACCGAUUUCAUAAAUUUAGUACAUAUUAGAAUUAUAAUAUCUAAUAAAUAAAAUGAAAUUUUAUGAUAAUUUAGAGUACAUCAUCAUUCUCAGGCAUUUCAUCCUCUACAACAUAACAAACACAAGAAUAAUAAGUAUAUGACAACUUUUCCAAGUAUAACAAACACAAGGAUAAAACGAAGUUUUAUAAUAAUUUUGAGUACAUCACCAUUCUCACGCAUUUCAUCAUUUUACAACAGAACAAACACAAGGAUAAUAAGUAUAUGGCAACUUUUCCAACUUCCUUAAGGAUGUUAUGGUACAAGAUUGCACUUAAAAUGAGUCGAUUGUGGAAUCAUGUCCGGAAAGAAAUUGAACAGAGCUAAUAAUUUUUGAAGAAAGUAUAACCAAAAUAAUCUUGAAAAAUUUUCUCCAACUUUUACCAAAAUAAUUUUGAAAAAUUUUUUCCAACUUUUUUACAUCUUUGGAAUAGGCCUUUUGCAUUAAAGGUGAUGAAAAGAAAAAUAAAUUUCUUGCACUAAAAUAAAGGAGACAAAUUUAAGAGACACAAUUGCAAUAAAAUAAAUAAAUAAAUGAAAGACACAAAUUCGAUUUGAGUAUUCAAAUGGGUGAUAGGUGGAAUAAUGUCUAUGCAAGUUGGAUUUUGAGAUUUUGCCUGAUUAUAAUUAAUCUAGGUCAGUUGCUUGGAAUCCAUCUGAGAUUGUUAAAAAUCUGGAAUAUUGUCAAUGACUUUAAUGGUAGAUAAGUGGUGUUUUGUAGAAAGAAAGGGGUCAAUUAGACAUUGAAACUUAGGUUCUACAAAUCACAAGAAUUACUAGAGAGCAUAUUGCACCAAGGUUCAUUUGGAGGUUGUUUUGUCAUGAUUUAGAUGAAUUGUGCAGAUUUUUGUCCUUUGCAGGCAAAUAUAGGACUCUCAUGUAAUGUAGUUGCAACUUGACGUUUGAUUUGAGUAUUUAAAUGAUGGGUGGUGGGUGGAACAGAGUAUAUGCACAUUGUAUUGGAUUCUGUGAUUUUGUUUGGAUUCUAAUUAAUUUCAGUGAGUUCCUAGGAAUCUAUUUGGGUUUGUAAAAAAUCUGGAAUGUUGUCAAUGACUUUAAUACGUGGUGCUUUUGGAGAAAAGAUAAAAGGUUAAUUAGAAACCGAAACUUAGGUUCUGGAAAUCCCAAGAAUUACAAGAAAGCAUGUUGCACCAAGGUUUAUAGGUUGGUUUUUUACGAUUCUAUAAGGUUAAUGGCAAAGAGUAGCAAGAACACACUAAAGUUUAGUUUGAAAUUUUUUAGACUGUAUAUCCUUUGCUGGUAUAUAUAGGACUCGUAUGUAAGGAGGUUGCACUUUGGGAGGAACAAAGUGUACGUGCAUCUUGUUGCAAACUAAUUGAUUACUUGGAAUUUAUUUAUGAGUUGUUAGAUAUUUGGAGUAUUGCCUAUGAAUUUUACAAGCAAUUAGUAGUGUUCUGGUUAAAUAGGUGGAGAAAAGAAAAAUAUGUUUGAGAAAUCCCAAGAAUUACAAGUAUUGCCACAAGGUUCAUUUGGAAACAUUUUUUAGAAUUCUACAAGGCUUAAGGUAACCAGAACUUUCCAUGUUUAGUUAGAAGUUUGCUGUGUUAAUUGUGCAGAGUUAGUUCCUUUGUAGGCAUUUAGAGGAGUCAUAAACAAGGAUAUUGCACUUCGGGAUUUAAUUGAUUGGCCUGAUGGUGACACAAGGAAUUGAAUAUCGCAUCUUUUGGAUUCUGUCUAAUUUAAUUGAUUGGCCAGAUGGUGACACAAGGAACUGAAUAUCGCAUCUUUUGAAUUCUGCCUAAUUUAGGUGAGUUACUUGGGAUUUAUCUACUGGUUUGUUACAAAUUUCGAGUAUUGUCAGUAAUUUCAUGGUAGAAGUAGUAUUGAAUUGAAAUAGAUGGACAAAAAAGAAACGGUAUUUAGAAUCAGAAAAAUGGUAUAUAGACAAGGAUGAUUAGAAGUUUGAGUUGUGUGGAGUUUUGCCCUUUGCAGGCACAUAUAGGACUCUUGUGUAAGGACAUUGCACUUUAGAGUAUCCGUUGAAUACUCAAAUGGUGAUAGGAGGAACAAAGUAUGUGCGCGUGCUAUUGGAUUCUAAUUAAUUUAGGUGAGUUGCUUGGAAUUUAUUUCUAGGUUGUUAAAGUUUGGCGUAUUGUCAUUGAAUACUAUGAUAGAUUACUGGUGUUCCGGUUGAAUGGAGAAAAGAGAAAAGGUCAUGUAGCGCAGAAACUUAGGUUCAGAAAUCCCAAGGAUUACAGGCAGGCAUAUUACAGCAACGUUCAUUUGUAGUUGCUUUUUAACCUUUGUGCAAGGCUUAAGGCAGAGAGCAACUACAACAUACCAAGUUUAAUUAGAAGUUUACUGGUGUCGUGCAGACUUAGGUAUCAAUUGAAUAUACAAAUGGUGACAGGAAGAGCAAAGUUUAUGUUGUAUCUUGUUGGUCAAGGUGAGUUUUUGGGAAUUUAUUUGUGGGUUAUUAAAUAUCUGGAGUAUUGCCAAUGAAUUUUACAGUUGAUCUAGUUAAAUAAAUGGAGAAAAAAAGAAAGGUUAUUUAAAACAGAAACUUAGGUUUGGGAAAUUCUAAAUCUACAUGUAAGAAUAUUGCAGCAAGGCAGUUUUUAGGUUGUUUUUUCUCCAUUCUGCAAGGCUUGAGGCAAAGAGUAACCAGAACAUACAAAGUUCAGUUGGAUGUUGUGCAGAGUUUGGUUCAUUUGCAAGCAUUUAAAGGACUCAUUCAUAUACAAGGACAUUUCACUUCUAGAUUUAGAUUGAUUGGUCCAUAUGGUAAUAUGAGGAACUAAGUAUUGCAUCUUUUGGGAUUCUUUCUAAUAUAGGUUAGCGGCUUGAAAUUUAUUUGUUGGUUGUUAAAUAUUUGGUGUAUUGAUGAUCAAUUAGUAGUGUUCUUGUUAAUUAAAUAGAAGAAAGAAAAAAGGUUAUUUAGUAAAGAAACUUAGCUUCGAGAAAUCCCAAGAUUACUACUAAGCAUAUUGCAGCAUAAUUCAUUUGGAGGCUUUUUUACCAUUCUACAAGGCUCAAGGCCAAGAGUGACCAGAACAUACCAAGUCUAGUUCAUAGUUUGUUGGCUUUCUGCAGAGUUUGGUUCCUUCGCAGGCAAUUUGGGAGGACUUAUAUUCAAGGACGUUGCAUUUUGGGAUUUAAAUUGAAUGCCCAGAUGGCAACACAAGGAACUUAGUAUUGCAUCUUUUUGGAUUCUAUCUAAUCUAGCUGAGCUACUUGGCAUUUAUCUGUGGGUUUGUUAAAAUCUGCAGUAUUACCAAUGAUUUUGUGGUAGGCAAGAAGUAUUGUGGUUUUUAGAAUCUGAAAGUGAACUUCUGCAACCAGAUUUACAAGAUAGCAUAGCACAUUGUAGCAAGGUUCAUUUCAGGUGAGUUGUCCAGAAUUUUGUCCUUUGCUGAAAAUUAUAGGACUUUUAUUUAAUGACAUUGCUCUUUGUCAUUUUUGGCAUUUUAGGUGAUUUGAUUCAAAACAGUUGUUACUUGUUUUUGUUUUUCCCAAGUAUAUAGUUAUUCUUGUGGCAUUGGAUAGUGAAAAUUUUUAAAUGCUAAAAGACCUAGGCUUCAUCUUAUUAAUCCUCAAAUGGUGUAAUUUGCUAAAAGAGUGUGAUGGGAUCAUGGGACCAUCGUAAUAGAGUGAUGGACCAUAAUGAAGGCAGUGGUACUCAGAGUGAGCGUGGAUACACAUCUAUCGUGAGUGUGAACAUUUUUAGUAUUACAUUCUUUUUUUUUUCUUCCUCGAAGGUAGAAACACACACACACACACACACCCGCUGCACUCAAUGAUGCAGGAAGCAUCGAGAAACUGGCCUAACAGAGCAAUCUAAGAGGGACUCAUAGAGAAACCUUAUCCAGUCAAUUGGUGACAGGAAGGGUUCCCAUGGACCUUAAACCUAGAGUAAAGAUCCCACGAUCUUUCAAUUUGGGAUGGUGCAAGCCCUUCGAUCUUUUGAUAGUAUUACAUUCACUUGUGGAGUUUUAAGCAUGCAAUCGAUUAAUCUUGAGUUUUUUUUUUUAACAUAUGAUUUUUCCACCCCUCCUCGCUCCCAGCUGUAGGAUUCGAACUCUGAAUUUGACAGUGAAAAACUCUUAUAGCUUUCCCCCUAUUUUGAGUGAAUGUGUUUUAGAACACUUUGUUUAGAAAUUAUCGUAGUGUGAAAGUAUUUUUGGACGAUUACUAUUUUAUCGUAUUAUAAAAAAUUAAAAACUUUCUAUAACAAUUUUUUGUUUUAUAGCUAUGUUGGUAUUAAAAAUGUGGUUAAUUUGUUACAGAAAAAAAUAAAAAAGCAAUUAACUUUAAAUAAGAGUUAGUCUUGACGCUACAUUAUCACGAUUGAAUUCGGUGAUACGUCAAUAAAAUUUGUUCAAAUUUUACACAUAUAACAUAUUUAAAAUCGUUUCAUAAACAUUUUUUUUCCAAAGUUUCACAACAGAAAUAGUAGAGAGCCAUUAAUCCUACCCACAAAUUGCAAAUAUGAGCAAAGGCUGGGGUUUCAUUGCAAAUUUGCAAUGGACGCGAUUCUUUGAUAAGCUCUCCGAAUCUCUCCACAGUCCCCAGCAUAAACCCUGAAUCUCCAAUCCCGCAUAAGAACAAGACAAUCCUCUGAAUUCCUAGAACCCUAGAUCCCACAAUGGCCCUUCGCCUUAAGCUCCGAUCAAUCUUGCUGCUUCAAAACCACCGCCGUUUCUCAACCUCAAUCCUAAAUCCCAACUCAAAUACCCCACUGACCAGCAAGGAAAAGUCUCGGGCGGCGCUCUCUCUCCUUCGGGCCGAGAAGAACCCAGAACGAAUACUCGACAUUUGCCGCGCUGCUUCGCUGACUCCGGAAUCCCAUCUCGACCGCGUCGCCUACUCCAAAGCCAUUUCCAAGCUUAGGGACUUAAAUUACUUCAAUGGGAUUCGGUCUUUUGUCGAGGAAUCCAUGGCCCGGCCCGAUAUGAAGUCCGAGAGAUAUAUUUCCCAUUUUGUUGUUCUGUAUGGGCAGGCUGGCAUGGUUGCUGAUGCACGCAAGACGUUUGAGGAAAUGCACGAGAUCGGUCUCGAUAGAACGGUAAAAACACUUAAUGCUUUGCUGUUUUCUUGCGUUUUAGCCAAGGACUACAAGGAAAUGAAGCGGAUUUAUAUGGAAUAUCCAAAAAUUUAUGGGAUUGUCCCGAAUUUAGAUACUUACAAUACUGUGAUCAAAGGGUUUUGUGAGUCUGGUGAUUCGAGUUCUUGUUACUCGAUAUUGGCUGAAAUGGGUAGGAAAGGGGUUAAGCCGAAUGGGACAACGUUUGGGACGAUGAUUGCGGGAUUUUAUGAGGAGGAGAAAUUUGAGGAUGUCGGUAAAGUGUUGAAGAUGAUGAAAGAAGAGCAUAGCAUAACUCCUGGGACUAGUAUUUAUAACAUUAGGAUUCAGAAGCUGUGCAAGUUAAAGAGGUGUAGGGAGGCAAAAGCAUUGUUUGAGAGCAUCUUGUCGAGAGGCUAUAAGCCGAAUAAAGUAACUUAUCAUCACUUAAUUCACGGGUUCUGUAAGGAGGGAGAUUUGGAGGAGGCAAAAGGGUUGUUUGAGAGGAUGGUGAAGAGUGGGAUUAAACCCGAAGGCGAAUGCUAUUUCACUCUGGUUUACUUCCUGUGUAGAGGUGAGGACUUUGAGGCUGCACUAAAGAUCUGUAAAGAGUGUCUUGCAAAGGGUUGGGUUCCAAAUUUCACGACUAUGAAGUUGCUUGUGGAGGGUCUGGCUAGCAUUUCAAAGGUCGAUGAAGCAAAGGAGAUUAUUGGGCACCUAAAAAAGGAGUUCUCAGCAUAUGCUGAUCGGUGGACUGAGAUUGAAGAAGGAUUGGCAAAGUAGACAGGAUGAACAUGGUAGUCUAUUGAAUCUGCUUCUGCAUCAUACGAUGAUCAUACUGAGACCAAGUUAGAAAUAAUUUGUACGUAAUUUUUGUCUGGAUAGAAUUGUAGUUUUCUACUCAGUUAUGGUAGCUCGACAAGUUUUGAUUUUGAUAAUUUUGUUAUGAUCAGUUGCGCAGUUUAUUAAGGUGUUUUAUCAAUUAAACUAACUCUGCUGGAGAUAUAUGGUACACAAAUGCAGUUCAACGUAUCAUAUUUCCUUUCGCAUACAUUUGGAGAUACGUUUCAAUAACAUGAAUGUACGUACCGGUGCUGCUUUUUUUAUGUAUUAGGCUUCAGACAGGCUCAAGGACUCAGAAUUUUCACGAGAUAUUAUGCUUACAGGCUCCAAUCGUACUCUCUGAUUGAUGUUAGUGUGGGCAUUAAUUAUGCUGAAUGUGGCAUGUGUAGGAUCAUGCAUUGCGAUUCGGGUGUUCUUUUCAGCUGAAUAAACAUUCGUGCUUCUCAACCAAAGCCUUUACUCUCGAGGAAUUCAAUGGCCUAUAACCUGCGGCUAGGUUUAUUAGAAUCUUACAGGACGAGCAUCAUUUGCUGAAUGAAUAAUCUUUUCGAGACAAGUGGUUCACAAAUGCCAGAAUGUCAGUUCAUUAUUACAAUCCUGGGUUACUUGUUCGCCAAAGAAAGAAAAAACCAGUCCCCUCCUUGUACCGCUUUCUGGGUGCAAUGUGCGCUUUUAUUGACAAGCUGCAAGUCUGAGAAUUGCAUACGAGCAUGAAUAUUAAUCUGUCAUCAAUUGUUGUAAAUUCGAGGCUAUAGCAAAAGGCGUAAAAAGUGUUUUAUUUAAAAAAAAUAAAAUAAAAUUUGGCGUUCUCAUGUACAAUGAUUCUGUUAAGUACAAAAAUACAUCUGAAGCAUUACUUUCUCUUCCAAAAGAAAGAAAGAAAAAGAUAAAAAAUAUACAAGAAAAGUGAACAUAAACUCAUGACUCUGUUUAAAAAAAAAAAAGCAAAAACACAAAAUUCCAGCUCUGCUUUUGCUCUGGACCAGAAAAGCACAUAAAUUUAGGCUACAACGAAGUUGCCAUUGACUUGGACCCGGUCUUUAGGUGUUGUAUUCCAUAUGCGGCUGUUGAACCGACAGUUGUUAGAGCAACCAACCAACUGAGAAGCAUGCCAUGUGUUAUUCCGGUGUAAAAUGACACAAUUCUACUACAUGAAAUGCCAAACUACUUCCCCAAAGUAAAGUACCUCAGAUAUGUAAUGUAUGACUGUGUUUCCUCGCUACCAAAUUCUGGUUGCAGAAGAGCUGCAGCAACUAGGACCAAUUGGAGAACUGUGUUCAACUGUCAACAUAUAUAUCAGAACUUAGCUAAAAAGAAAUAAAAUUUAUAUUUAGGAUGAAUCAAGUGAGCAAUAUACAGCUGAUCCAAUACAGUCAUCCUAACAAUUUCCCGCACGUCCUCUCAUGAUAUUAGUGUGCUAAGUAAUCACUAGAAGCAGAUCCCGACUCAGUUAGCUUCCUCUUUUCUUUUUUCCCUGCUUAAAAUGACCUUGGUUUGCCACUGAAAACAACUUACUAACAUGCAGAUAGAGAUUUCAUCUUUUAGUUAUGAGAAACCCAUCCUUCCCUCUUCCUAUCUCUUCUUGGCACAUUUAAAGAGGACAUGAAGAAGCAUAUCAAACUGCUCUCACUAAAUUGAUGGAUUUCUGAUUAUUGUGCUGCAUCUUUUUCACCAAGUACCCAGGCCUGAGAAAAUGAACAUACCUUGCUUAUCAAGAGAGGUUCAACUUUCUCAGGGCAAGUCCCAUCAAGGUUGAAGAAAUCAAACCAACUCUUCCACUGUUACAAGAAUUUAACUCAAUAGUGUCAAGCAAAGAUAGAGCAGCUUAGUCAUAAAGAGCUUCAGGUAGAUCUCCCUCACCUGCCAUUGCAAACUGCUAGCUCUUUUAUAGACUGCCCCGCCAACAAGGGCAACAUCACGCAACACAACAAGCGCAACAAGUCCGGCUACAAAAGAUAAAAGACCAAUUGAAUAAGUUUCUAAAGAAAGGAUGAUAUUAUCUUCAAAAAUUUAAUUUUAAUCCUAGAAAUUUCUCUUGUAUCAGUUGGCCAUAUAACUGGCAGACUUGCAUAAAUAUAUCUUUGACAAAGUUUCUAGCUCAAAAGGUGGACAUCUCUUUUGUAAAGAAAAUUAACAUCACACAAAGGGGAAUAUCUGACAUACAAUUAUUUGGUACUAAGUAUACAGAAAAUAAAUUACUAAUUGUUUUAGAAAAAGAAAAAGAGUAAUUUUUUUGUCACCACACUGUUACUUGCAAUGUUACCAAUGGCAUUAGAUAUUUGAUCAGUAGUUCUUCGAUUUAAAAAAAAUGACAAAAAAGGCACAUACAAGUAGGAAACCAAUUACACACUUACGGUGCAGAAGACCUUUAUAAACCAUGCCCAAAGCAACAGAUCCAAUUAGUACCUGCACCCAUGAAUGCAAUGAAAUACUGAGAAAAAUUACACUAACCAAGUAAUGCUGUGAAAAAGAUGUCACAUUCAUUUAUUAGAAGUGUAAGACAAAAGGAAAACAAUAUUAAAAUUUUUUAAUGUAAUCGGGCAGCCAAGAAAAAGUUGAUUAUUACCUUGUCAGCAAGAGGAUCAAGGUAGGAACCCACCACAGAAUUGAUUCCCAUCUUCCUGGCCAAGUAACCAUCUAGCUACAAAAUUGGAAAAAUUAGAAGAUAUUGGCAUCCAUCCAGCUACAAGGAAGAUUGGAAAACUUAGAAGAUAUUGGCAUCUCCUCGUAUCAAACAUCCAAUAAUGACAAGACUAGAAUUCCCAUACCCAAUCAGUCACACCAGAGAUACCUAGACCAACAAAUGCUGAAAGAUACAUUUCAUGGGUGAUCAUCCUGCAAAGUCAAUUAGAACAAUACUUUAUAAUGGCCAAAUAUACAAGACAAGUUGAAUAAUAGAACUGUUGGUUAAGAGCACAGUUGAAUAACUGAAUGUAGAGGUGACUGAAUAAGCAUCUUACUCCUAUAACACUAUUCCCACAUGCAAUGAUAAGCAAACUAGACUGAAAUACUAUAGUACCAACCCAACACAUCAUAUUUCAACUCUAUUUGCCAAAGCAAAUGCAAACACGCGCACAAAGAGAAGAUAAACCUUUCAAGGAUUCUAGUACAAGCAUGUUUAGGAGAUAAUAAUGGGAUACUCAGUGCUAAAAUUUUGGCUUAAACUGUUAUAUAAUGUUCCUCAAGGCCAUGUGCUAUCAUAAACCUGAUCAAGAAACAAACAAUAAAUAAAAGGGGGAAAAAAGGAGGAAGCAGCAAAACAAAACCCAGUAAUAGAGGAUUACUCACAUAUCCUCAUCGAGGAUCAGUAUUGCAGAAAACAAAGAUCACUAUACUACUUUUGAUUCCUAAUGUAGUAUGCAAAGGUACAUUGUUACUAAACAACCGAUAAAUGUUGUGCAGGUUCAUAAUCCAACAGUCAUUAUUGUCUUUCAAGGUUGCCUGAAGCCUGGACUGCACUAAGAGAUAAAUCCUAAUUUCUUAGAACGACCACUUUCUCAUGUAUGUUUAGCAACUAAAAUCCGACUAAACAAAUUAGCAAGCAGUAAAAUUAUGGACUUUUACAAAUUAAUAUUCUUUACUUCUCCAUCUUGUUCAAUUAUGCUUGGAUACAUCACAGAGAAAAGGUUGUAAUUGAGUUUUACCAUAAAGUUUUCAGCAAAAUGUGGUUUUUCCCCUUCAUUUCACCAUCAAUAUCGAAAGCACGUAAACAUUUUAUAUUUUCCGCAUGAAUCAAAAAACCAACAAACAUAUUAAAUUCAUGAAUUUAAAAAAAGGGCCAAAUUUGAAAAAGAAAUAUACCAUCCAAGCAGUGGGCCGGAGACUAAUCGACCGAAAGAAAUAAAAUUGGGAAGAUUCAAAUAGCUAUCAGUAACUUUGACCAGAGCAUCAGAAUCAGUAUGAUCAAGCUUGGACCCAUUAAAUCCCUCACUAUAUUUCUUCUCCUUGCUGUUUAAAUCCUGAAACCGUAGUUUGUACGUAAUAAUGUUAUUCAGGGCAUAUGGGACCCUGGGUGAAAGAUUGAGCAAGGCGACGUCGCAUUGGAGGUGAAGGGGAGUGGCGGAUUGAGAUAGCUUCCAAGGGGGCGACGAGAGAAAUAGAGGGCCAAAAGUGGACGAAGGGAUAGGAGGGAGAAAAUGGGGCCGAAGAAAAAAUGGGUUUUUGAUAAUGUUACUAUUGGAAUUGUGGGAUAUGUAGGACUGGGAACUGGAGCAGAGGGAGACGAAGGUUCUAGCAGAAGAAGAAACAGAAUUAGGGUUUUGAAGCGGGGAUUUCGUGGAUUGGGAAAUUAGGGUUUUAAGGAUUGAUCGGAAGAAGGCCAUGGCCGAUGAUGGUCAAGCAUUGUUUUUGCAGUUGCAGAAAGGUGGAAGGACAGUUUGGAGGUUAGGGUUUUACAAAGGGUUUUAGAGGAAGAAGAUGACACGUGGCAAGUUUACACGUGUUACAGUCAGAGGAGCGGUUUUCUUUUUUGGUUUGGAAAAAUUUUUCCUUUUUGGGUUUCAUUCUCCUGGCUGUGCUAUUUCAAUUGUGUUAUUUGAGAUACGGCUAAGUAUUUCUAUUUUGAGUAUAUUUCUUGGAGUAAAUAAUGAAGAGAGUAAAAUGCAGUUUUCAAACCCAAAGUCUAACCGUUCAGUAAUUUUGGUACUCAACCAACUAGGAGUAGAUGGCCACCAUGGAGAGAUUUAAAGCUUUUCUUGGAUGUAGAGGAAGAGAUUAUUUGCAUUCUAAAAAAUCUAGAAUUUCCUGAAAAAUUUCGCCAGCAGAUACAUAAACUGAUAGGCACCCGAAUGGGUCUGUGGCGGUUCAAUUUUCUUCGAAUUUCCCGUUUUGAUCCCUUUGGUCCUUCUUUCCCUAGAUAGGAGUAGUUGUAGAAUGGAAUGUAUUGUAUGAAAAAAAAAGAGUAAUUUUGAUACUCAAACUUCACAAAAACAAAUUUGGUAUCUGACGUUAUAAAAUUUAAUCACAAUACACUCAAUGGAAUUCUUCACAUUCAUUCCUACUAGAAAAAAAUACAUGCUGUGUAUGUCAACAAAAUUAUAAACCAAUAUCAAAAAAAUUGGAAAACAACACUCAAACUAGAUUCCAAAGAAAGUUUCAAAACCUAAUAUUGAACGAAAAGAUCCAAAGAAAAACCUUUCUAUAUCUUUGUGACACUUUUGACUUGACUCUCAAUAUUUUUCAAUAUUUUCGAAUAUUUUUAAAAUUUUGCUAACAUACACAUGAUAGGAUGUGACUUUUUCCAAUAGGAAUUUUAAAAAAAAAUUUCCAUCAAGUGAAGUAUGCUUAAAUAUUAUAAUAUUGAGUACCAAAUUUGUUUUGAAAUAUAUUCUCUCUAAAUGAAAAUAUUUUUCUCUCUUUUUUUUUUUGCUUUGUCAACAAAUGUUACUAGGAACUACAUAAGAACAAUCAAAUAAAUUUGAUAGAUGAAGUUAUUGUUGUCCAAUAAAUAUAUGGGUUAUGGUAUGACGGGGUGUGGAUUUAACCCCUCUCGUUCAAAUACGGCAUGUUUCAUAAUUGAAUGAGCAAUUUAUUUAUCAAUGAAAGUAUAGUUUAUGUUGGUUUGGAACACCACAUGAGGUAUUCUUAGGGCUGCAAAUAAACCGAAUCGCUCGCGAAACUCGACUCGAGCUCGAACUCGAGUUCAAAAUAUUAAGCUCGAAUAUAUAUAUAUAUUUUUUAUUUUAAGUAUAUAUAUAUUUUUUAUUUUUUAUUUUAAGUGUAUAUAUAUUUAUUUUAAGUAUAAAAUUACAUAUAUAUCCUUAAUAUUUUAUUAUUUAUUAAGAAAAAAUAUUAUUUUAUUUAUUUUUUUAAAAAUAAAAUAAUUAUUUUUUUAUUUUUUUCGAGUUCGAGCUCGAGCUCGAGCUCAAUAAAAUUAAAUCAAGACUUGGCUCGAUUAGACCAAAACUCGACUCGACUUGACUCGUUUGCAGCCCUAGGUAUCCUUUUCUCUUGGUUGUAUGGGAUUUAGUGAUGAUUUUCCAUAAACGAGAACUGAGAAGCACCCAUUUAUUCUGCUUACCCAUCCAAUGCCAAGAAAGGAUUUAGUCAACUUUGCAAUAACUUGGUCAUAUUCAUACGAUAUAUCUAUAAUAGGAAAAAUUCUUCAAAACAUCCCUUAGAUUUCGUCAAAUAAAUUUUUUUUGUCUUUUAUUUUUAAAAUAAUAAUUUUCCAUCCCUUAUAGAAUCAAGUUGAUAAAAUUCGGCCCAACUUAAGUUUUCAACCAACUUUUAUUUUGAACCCACUCACACAUGAUCAUUUUUUCAGAGGCAAAAAGGUUUUAUCUCAUAUAUAAUUAAAUAAAUGGUUUAAUCCGUUGGUAUUUUUAACCCUAAAAAAGUAGGAUAUAACCCAACUUAUAUUCAUUUUUUUUCUAAAAAAUUGAGAUCUGACCUAAUCCAUAUUCAUUUUGCCACUAAAAAAUUGGGAUGUGAUGUGACCUUUUUGUACAUGAAAAAUGACUGCAAGCUGGUCUGUAGUAAUUUUAGGCUCAAAAGCGAUCGAAAAUUUAGAAUGGGAUCAAAUUUUGCUAAUUUGAAUUUUUAAGGGACAUAAAGUUAAUAUUUUAAAAAUAAAGGUUAAAAAAAAUCAUUUGACAAAAUAUGAGGGAGGUUUUCAACAAUUUCCAUUUAUAAUAUUCUCGUUUAUAAUAUUCCGCUUAUAAUAUUCUCGUACUUCUCUACCCAAGACUUUAACGAAUAUAACGGGCUUCCAAGUCAUUAGCUGCCUGAAAGUAGUUACUUCCACGACCCCAAUUGAGUUUCUUACCAAAUCUUCUUCCAACACUUUUUUUUUUCUUUCUUUUUUCCUGUGAAUGAACAACCUUCUUUAAGUUCAAAAACAAUACAUUCUUUAGCUUUCUUUUUCCUUUAUGAUGCCAGCUUGUAUUUAAUUAAUCUGAAAAUAUCCUUCGGCUCCGAGGAGAUAUUGAAACAUUACCUGGCAUUGUCAAUAAAUGAAAGAGAAAGAUGGAAAGAUACCACAUUUUAUGAUUGUUUUCGAACCUGAGAAGGUUUGUUGGGAAAAUCAAAAGGAGGGGUGUGGAAGGAGAUGAGAUUAUUGGCCUGUUGCACAAUGCAGCGCAGCACCACAAUGAGGAAGGCACCUUUGAAAGCAUCUAAGAGUUCUAUCAACGACGUGAAGAUCUCCAAGAAAUAUGAUGACUCUGAUGCAUUGUCCACCAUUGUCAGAAGUGUUUCUCUGAAUACAGGUUACCCCAGCCAAACAAUAUUUCAUCUCUUGUCUUUCAUUUUCGAGCUUUUUUUUUCCCCUUUUUGUUUGGCGAUUUAUGUAUCUGAUAGGUUUAAUCUAUACAAAGUAUGUGCAUUUUACACCUGAACAUGGUUUUUGCAAGUGUGCAGAAAAUGUCAAAUGUUACUUUGUGCUCCAGCAUUCUUAACAGACUUAAUAAUGUUUGAUCAAUCCUCUUUUUUGACGUUAAGGCUUGUAGGAAAUAACUGAAUGCAUUAAAAUUGAUCACCUUGUUAAGAACAAGAAGAUUUCAACACAAUUUCCUCACCACACUAGAUUCUUCUUCCCAAAUGCACAAGCGCAAGCCUUUGCAACAUAGAGAUUAUGAGAUUGCAGGAAUAUAAGCUGAUUGUCUUGUUGCUUAAGAUUUAUCUUGUUAUAACCCGUAUUAUACACACGGGUGUGAUGAUCUAUACAGGCCCUAGUAAACAAAGAACAGUAGCUGAGGACAUACUUCGUUAUGGACAUGUUAAAGUUGCAGCAGAGGUAUUCACAUUUCGCGAACUCGCAGCUGCAACGGACAAUUUCAAUUCUGAACUACUGGUGGGAGAAGGAGGAUUUGGAAGGGUCUAUAUGGGACGCCUCAAGAAAACCGAUCAAGUAUCUCUCUCUCUCUCUGUCUCUCUCUCUCUCUCUCACACACACACACACAUAUUUGAAGUAUCAUGACCAUCCUUGUUCCCAUUUAAAGGUUGUUGCAGUCAAGCAACUUGACAGGAAUGGAUUUCAAGGAAAUAGGGAGUUUCUAGCAGAAGUUCUGACACUAAGCCUUGUUCACCACCCAAACCUCGUAAAUCUCAUAGGGUAUUGUGCUGAUGGCCGCCAAAGAAUUUUGGUCUACGAGUACAUGCGUAAUGGAUCACUAGAAGAUCACCUCUUUGGUAAGCACAAUAUUAAGUUCGGGGACAGCGACAUUUCCCAUGGAGAAUGAUCCCAAGAAGCAGUAUCAAUUAUUUGUCAAAACAUACAUUAUUGUUUUGGUUUUAUCCUUCGACAACAUGCUAAUUGGUCAAUAGUAUAAAGAUUGUUUGUGCUUUAUGUCUUACAUUACAUUCUAAUGAUGUUAUCUGUUUUUCAGAUAUUCCUCCACAUAAGAAGCCUCUAGAUUGGUUUACUCGGAUGAAAAUAGCUAAAGGUGCAGCACAAGGACUCGAGUACUUGCACGACACAGCCAACCCACAAAUCAUCUAUCGCGAUCUAAAAGCAUCUAACAUCUUAUUAGAUGAUGAGUUUAAUCCUAAGCUCUCUGAUUUUGGACUUGCUAAGUUAGGUCCAACAGGAGACAAAGAUCAUGUCUCCACCAGGGUAAUGGGGACCUAUGGCUACUGUGCUCCAGAGUAUGCAAUGACAGGCCAACUGACGACGAAAUCUGACAUCUAUAGUUUUGGGGUGGUCUUGUUGGAGAUCAUCACAGGAAGGAGAGCUAUCGAUAAUACAAGGCCUACAGCAGAGCAGAACCUGAUUUCUUGGGUUAGUUUCUGGAUUUGCUAUUUUUGAAUUGACUAAAGAAGCUUCGGCACUUAUUUCUAUAACUUAAAGAACCAGUAACCAAGCCAUCUUUCGUUCUGAGAUACCUUAAUGUUCAUUUGGAUAAUUGGAUGCAAGAUUUUUUUGGGUUCAGUAUUCUGCACUAACAAUUUGAAAGUCAAAAGGCAAAUAUUCUACACGUCUGUCUGCAGGAGUAAUCAUGUCAAUUGGAGUAAUAGCUAUACUAUACUAUGGUACUGAACAAGAAACGUUUCAAUAUAGUUUAUUUGUAUAAAUUUUUAUUGUCAUGUUGAAUACAUGUGCAAGGCAGGUGCAUUUUCCUAGUUCAUGUAAAAUGGGGUAAUAGCUAUACUAUGGUACUUACCAAGAAAUGUUUCCCAACAAUGUAGUUGGUUUUAACAUUCUUUGAUUGUCAUUUAGUUUGCCCAUGAUUUUGUUCUCAUUCUUGCAGGCAAAACCUUAUUUUAAAGAUAGAAGACAAUUUACAUUCCUGGCUGACCCUUUGCUGGAAGGGGAUUACCCUGUAAAGUGUCUUCAUCAAGCUGUUGCUGUUGCGGCUAUGUGCCUCCAAGAUGAAGCUAGCACCAGGCCUUUCAUUGGCGAUGUUGUUACUGCUCUCGAGUAUCUAGCCAUGAGCACAGAUGAAAGCUUCAGCGACGAAGAAGAAGCGAUAGAUUUUCAGUAGACAUAGAAAAUCAUUUGCUGACACUCAUAGAGUCAGAAAAUUAAAUGAGGCCAUAGACAUUCCUAUCCCAUUGAGAAGGUAUCCUUAUAUGAGAAGGUAUCCUUAAUUGACCUAUCCCAUUUUGCAUUUGACAGGAAGAAAAAAGGAAAAAGAGAGAAACAGGAAGAAGAAAAAUGGUAAUUGACGACUUUUGGGAAGUCACAAGUUGUAUAGUACCCUCAAAGGAGGGGGUUAAGAGUGUUUCUAGCCAUUGAGAGACAAAGUAUUAAACAGUUCCCUGUUAUGAAGUCUGUAGGUUAUCAUCUUAUCUGUCAAAAGAUUAGCUAAUGGUUGCUCUAUUUGCAUUGAUGCUUCAGUAUCCUCAUUAGAUAUAAGCACAUGUACCUCAGUACAUUGACAUUUGAACAUUAAAAAGCACAUUUUCUUGAAUCUUCCACCUGCAACCUAUAUCUGUUACUUCACAUAAAGGAAUCCGAACUGGUAAGUUUCUAAAUUCAAUGCAGCAUAAUGUGCCUGCUACAGAACCUUAUACAUGAUCACUUAAACACCUGAAUACAUAAAAAUUCAGAACACAACAAUGUAGUUGUAUUUGUUUGAAAUAAGCCUGGAAACAGUUGUAGGAUAUCAUGCUUUUAACCUUGGAAAUGUGCAGCUUGACAAGCAGAAAUUACACUAGUUAAAUGGAGUUACCCGUGACUGCAUAAACAUGUUUACAUUCAAUUGAUACUUCUAAGUUCCUGUCUAGCGUACAACUAAAUAUCAAAUUACAUGAAGAAAGGGGACAUGAACCAAGUACAUGGUCAAUAUAAAAGUAAUCUUCUCUUUGAUGAACCAAGAGAAAGAAAAAGAGACAGAAAAGGUCCUCUUAGCUAGAGGCAGUGAGGAUCUUGAGGUAGCACUAUUUGGGAUCAGUGCCUUCAGACUCGGAUGGCCAAGCAACAACUGAUCUGGCUUUUGUUAAAGACCACAAAAACCAAUUGCAUAUGUGACAAAUUCCUAAACAGGGACACCAUGUACAAGUGUACAACCAAUUGCCCUCUUCCUGUAAAGGUCCUCAAUCUUUAAGGGAAGCUGUUAUGAGAAAGUAAACGUCAUACAUGAUCCUCAUACCUGCGGAAGGUACUACUCAUCAAUAAAAACAUACCAAGUGAAGUACUUCAGCACGGUACCAUACCAGUGGCUGGAGGUUCAUUACCUGAGGAAUUAUACUGAAGCAUGAAAAAGUUGAGAUAAAGGAACUGAAUCACAGUUUCUGAUAUUCACAGGCAACUUUUUGACGUGUAUCAUUUAAUUUUGAUGCUAAAUAAACAUGGAAAAUCAGGUCCCAUAAGAUAGGAAGUCCAUGAGAAAGAUAGAAUGUUAUCUGAAAACUUUCUCCUGCCUAACAACCUUAUGAAGCAUCAAACUAAUGCUCCAUAAGACUAUGGUACUAGACCUCAAACUCCUUCAUAUCAGCUCUGAGAUUUCUAUAACUGAACCGAGGAAAUUCACCCAAUCGAUGGCUGUCGGAUACUUCCACCAUUGAGCACAUGCCUGGUCGCACACCAGAACCUGUACCUCCUCUUCUUUUCUUCCUCCUCCAUGUCAAAUUCAAGAACCUGAAACUAGGCCAGGAUUUAAUUCCAGUGGAUGUGAAGUCCUGGACAUGUCUCUGAGGUUGUACAGAGCUUCCACAGCAGUCUACUUCCAGUCUUCGGAAAUACUCAAUCUCCUUCUUGAGAAGUGAUCCAACCGUCCCCCUUGUGCCAACUUCAACUGGAGCACCUGUACCCAUUUGUUCAGGCAACUUGCUAGUUAUGUUGCUGACACUAUAUAUCGUUUGUCUGUACACUGCCAUGGCACCAAAGAAUUGGUAUGGAAGAAAGGUUGUUUGAAGCCUUUUAGGUCCUUGUCUUUGAUGAAAGUGUGCUUUUAAGUUUGGAUCACCUCAUCUUUGAUUUGCUUUACUACAUGCUUUAUCCAAAGUGGACAGCAUGGGAAGUAUGAUUAUAAAAGCAGCAGUGGGAAUAUGAUCAUCAUAUAUGUUUGCAAUCAAAGCAAAUAAAAAGUCCUAACUGUUCCCCCUUUUUGACUUCUUGAUCAUGCAAUUGCUUGCAUAUGUAACACACCCUUCAUCAUGAUCAAGGUUCUUUCACUAUUUUUUUCCCCUCUCAAUGGGAGUAGUAGUUCAAGUCUCCAAUGUUCAUUUUCUCCUUUUUUUCUUCACAUAAUCGCAUUUUCUAAGAAUUGAGCCUGUAGCAACUGUUACCGGUUAGUCAAGAACUUUUAAUGCCAGGAAUCAAACGUGGUGUGUGAAACAGGCCUAAAUUGCCAUUGUCAAUAGGCAGUUAAGAAGGAUAAUGACCGCUUUAGCACCGUACGAAUGCACUCAAAUGGUUCACUUGGGAUGUAGAAUGAUUACUUGCGAAUUGCCAUCAAUUGCUCGAUCUUUUGAGUGCUUGUUUGGACGGACUGAGUCGUUAGAAACCAUAAAUACGCAUCAGGCAUUUCAUUUUGUUUAUCAAAUUGAAAAUGUUUAUAUGCGUGUGGGGUUCUUCUUGCUUUUCUUUCCACUUUUACUAAUGGCGGAUUCUUAAAGUGGAAUUGUUGUUGAACGGUUUCAACAUAAUCUGCUUCAAUACAAAAAUUUGCAGCUUCAGGCCACUAAUUGAUGGAAUCCAGUUUUGGUGGUGGAAUAGUUCAGCUAGUCUGCUUCCAUGGUUGAACAAAAGCAUGCUUGCACAUUGGUGGUAUCUAACAAGAAAACUGUAUGGGUUACUUACUCUGGUACAUAUCGCUGAUUGAAAAGUCAGAAACCACUAAAUAUAUCACCUCCAUCUUCAAAUCCAUCAUUUGCUGGGAGUCGUACACAUUAGACUAUCUAUCAGAUCAUCGGAGGCAGGUAGAAAGGCAUUCCUAUCUAAGAAAACAUUGACGGCGUACAUAUAUAUGUUCCAAAUUUGCAAAAUUAACAAUCGGCUGCUUACGUUUCAAUUGUACAAUACUCCUCUAAACACCAAUGUGAAUUUGUGCAAUUUGUCCACCAUUUAACAGCAGAAGUGAGAUAAUACACAAGGUACUGGAAACUGAAACAUGGUGAAAUAGAAGAUCGGUAAGUAUGGAAAUGGCAUGGCAUUGAGUCGGAAUAUAUUCAUUCUUCAGCGGUGACAGAGAGAGAUAAAUAUAUGAACUUGCAUUUCUACUCUUGCCUUCAAAUGUAUAAAACAAAAACAAGACAUUAAAGUUUGAAUUAACUUUCAAUAAAGCCCACGUUUUGACUAAGCCCUAAUCCCCGGACAAGAAUAUUAUGCAAGCAACACCCUCGACAGUUGACAGUUUUAUUGUUGGAAAAACCAAGAAUUUCCAUUCACAAUCAUAUUCAAUUGCCUUUGUUGCAUGGCUUCCAUGACAUGGUGGCUUCCCAGAAUUUAUAAUUUAACCGUGGACAUGAGAAUAUGACUUCAAUUAUCUAAAGAACAAUUUUGUAAAGAAUUUGAUGGCAGCAUGAAUCAUUUUUGAUGCCCCUAAAGAAUAUGCAGUAUUACAAUUUUCUGCUCUACAAUCAAAACACAGAAACGAUAUCAGAAGUUUAUCUGUCCAGGAAAACAAGAACAUCGCAUAAAAAUAAUAUAACCAACUUAAAACCAACAACAUCUCAAGAAAUUAGCGCAUUGCAAUGUAAUGCUCUUGAUAAAACUGAAAGAUGCUUUAUUCAAAUAGUUAUCAAAUAAAUUACAAGCCUCAAACUUGAAGAGCUUGCGCUCUCUCCUUUACUUUUUCCAUUUUUUCCCUAACCCCCAUUGUUGUUUUUUACUCUUUCAAAUUUUUUUUAUCCAAUUUUCCUUUAUUUGGAUUUACAUUUUCACGUAUAAUAUAGGAUUUUCUCAAUAUCAUCUCGUAUGUACUUUACAGUCUACACUGAAAAAAUGAUGCACAUACCUCGGCAAGGCAAGAGCAUGCUGCUGUCAAAGACCAUUCAACUUGCACCUCUUUAGUCAGAAAAAGUUAAAAUGGCUGGAUCACAUUAUACUGGGAAGGUGGCAUGAAUAUCUGAGGCUGCGAUGCAAGGCAAGAGCAUUUUGUAAGGCUACAUCUACUCUUGAACCACUCUGAAACAGUGAGUCAUACAACUGGCAGACAAACUGAGACAAUUCCUCCUCAUCAUCAUCCCAGUAAUAAUGUGAAGGUGCUCCGUUUUUUUCAGGUUCACUGUCUUCCCAGUCACUUAUUGGACUGGCAGGUUCCAUGUCUUCAUCUUCUGCUUCUUCAUCUCCAAUCUCAAACUUCCCAUUCUCUACAGCAUUAAAUUCACCAGACCCCUGGAAUGUUGCCAACUGUGUUUCUUCAGGUUCAGCAGAAGGGCAUAUGACUGCUUUAGCACCAGAAUCAAGAAGUGAUUUGAUCAAAGCCUGGGUAGGCCCGUAGAUGCCAGUGAAGAUUAUAAUCCUAUCCCUCCAAGCCCCAACCUGGGUGUCAAUACAAAGCAAGAGAAUUGGUCUCGACAACAGACAUGCUAAAUGAAUCACAAGUAUCCAAAUAUCUAAUAUGCUACCAACUUGAAAGGCCGAUAUGCAAAUCCCAAAAUUUAGGGAACAUAAUAACAGGCUGAGAAUGUCAUUAGGGUAAACAUAACUAUUCUCUUCCAGAGGAUAGAGUUUCCCAGACAUUUAUAUUUUCAAAAGAUUAGCAAAAGCAGUAUUAAAAUCUGAACCAAAGUAUACUCAGACACUUUUCUUUUAAACCUUUUUCCACCGUUUCCCUAAAUCAACAAUUUAAGUGGGUAAAAAUUGCUAAGGAAACUGCACAAAAUGAUUCUGAAUGCUGAAGCACUUGUAAAAAUACCAAAACUACAACUUUGGGGCAAUUUACACAACCUCGCUUACUAAAAGUACCUUGACAGACAAAAGUAUCAAGGGAAAAGGAAGACAAAGAGGAGUAGAAUGAAGAAGAGGUUAAGGGGAUUGAUAGAACAAUGAAUCAUUGAGGCAUAAACUCUUUGUUUUUAAAAACCACACUGAUUUACUUAGUUUAAUAGUAUCAAAUGCCAGUUUUGAGUAACCACUAUUUUACCGAAUCAUAGGAUGGUUUCUCUAGAAUUCAUUAAGAAUGGAAAGCCAAAUGAAAGCAGAUGUAAACUAGGCCACACCAUCAGACGAACAUCUUCUGGAGUUAAGUGAACAGAAGGAACAGUCCUACGGAACAUAUAUGCAGCAAUUUCUCGAUCAUCUUCCAUAACCUUCAGAAUAUUCCAAAAGGAAAUCAGAUUAGUAAUAGUCAGUUAGUGAAACUAAAUUAAGUACAAAAAGGAAAAAUAGAAAUAACACAAAAAGGAAAUCAGAUUAGCAUACUUGUGUUUGUCUUCCAAUAUAUCGAUGAACAACACCUCCAAUUUGGAAGUAGGGCCUACACGAAACCAGGUCAGAAAUUGUAGAAAUGUCUGUGAUAAUUGAUGCAUUCUUCCUACGUCGUCCUCGAAACAUUGCCAGUAGGCUAUAUUUUACAGUCUGCAGAAAUUUUUCUGCUAGUUCUCCCGGCUCAGCAACCACAAACACUUCAUUCUGCCAACUAUAUUGGGAAAAGAAAGGAAAAAAAAAAAAGACGCUUAAGUAAAAAUGAAACAGCAUUCACAUGUUUUGUCGGUAGAAGAUGAUGAUGCAAAUGUUACCUUAAUAUGGACCCAUAUAUAUCAUUUUGCAGAGCCAAAUGUAUCAGUCCAACUUGAGAAGAAUUCCUUAGUUUGUCAUGCAGUGAAAGGACAGGUAAAGUCAAUUGCCUGCGUCUGGCAGGAGAGUCAGGCGGUGAAGCAGUUGUUUUUGCAGAUUGGGAUCCAUCCAAGCUUAAAGGAGGAACCAAAUCAAUCCGGCCAACCCUCUGAUACCCAAAAUCUGGACUGUAGAACGGGGGGCUUGAUGGGAAGCUCCCAGUAAACAAAGGUGAUGUAAAUGGUGUUGGGAAUGUAGACCCUGCAGUUGCUCUGAGGGUGCCUGAUAUAUCAUUCACUAGAGAUAGCUUUAUUCCAGAGCGACCACAAAACGUCUCAAGUGAGCGUGCAUGAUGAAAAACUCUUCCAGAAUCUGGACUGUUAGAAGCCUCAACAAGAAGCACGGCUUGUCUCCAGCCUAUAGAGGGGCUGUUGUCAUCUAGCACUGCCAACACACAAGACUUCAAAGCUAAGGACAAUAAACAUCAAAAUAGAAUCAAACCUCUGAGUAGACAACAAUAAGAAUUCAGCACAUAUACCAGAUUUUAAACCUUUCGCUUUAACAAACUGCUGAGACUUUAGACUAUCUGGAAAUUUUUCAUCAUGUGAAUUCUCCAGCAAACUCUCACAUACAGUUCUAAAUGACAUAGAGUUCUUCUUGAUGUAAUCAUCUGUGGCAGCCUCCAAUCUCAACCAAACCGUUGGAUCAGUCUCAUCUAGCUCCAUCUCACAACGCUCAUCGACUGCCAUUGCAAACAAAGAAAAUCUCGGUUGAUAAAUAAUCUAGAAGUUAAAAAUAACAUUAUGCAAACAUUCAGCACUAUUAUGAUCAGGCAGCUUGAUUUCUACUCCCCUAGUUUGACAACCCAAACUCAAAAGCAAAAGCAGGAGGAAGAAAUCAAAUCCGAUUUUUUUUUUUUAAAAAAAAACACUCCAAGUGCUUGUCCUACUGGUUUCUUAGAUGCUGAUACAAAACAGAGUAUUUCAAUAACUGUUUGAAAUUCUCCUCGUAAAUUAAAACAUAUAAAAGCUAGCUUUAUAGAUGCAUGCACUUACAUUAGAGGCGCUAUACUUCAAUGUAGCUUUCUGCUCAAUAAAAACUAAAAUUUAGUUUACUUUAAGCCCAAAAAAAACCCUAAAAAAUGCCACAGUUUGGAGUUCAUAAUUAACACAUUUACUAAUAGAUAGAAAUGGUGUACCUGGAUUGAACCGAAAAUAUUGUAUGUCAGGAAGCAUAGUGAGCAACGUGCUUAAAGCUUCCUCCACACGAUCAACUGAGCAUGCACUUUCAAUCAACACCUGACCAGUAUCCAAAUAACGCCAUCCUCCUUUCCGAACCUAGCAUAGCAUGAAAACAGUAGCACAACAAUAACUAAACAAACAAGAUGAAGAAGCAACAAUAAAACAUGUACAUCUCAAACUAUCACAUCAUCUCAGUUAUCUUUAAACACCCAUGCUCGCCCAGCUGCCCACCCUCAUUCCAUCUCUUGAUGGAAAAAAAAAUUGUGUAAAAGAAAGUGAAGAAAAAAUAAGAUGAGAAAAGAAAACUAUUGUAUUUAGGUAAACGAGUUUAAAUUUCUCAGACAAUUGAUUAGGUGAGAAUGACCUAAAGAACAGGCCAUCUGCUCCUAGGUAAUAGCCUCCUGAUAAUUAUAAGCAAAAUAGCAACAAAUGCAAGUGACUUGGAGUUGAAAGUAAUACUGGCCAGCCAAAAAUUCAUGAUCACAAAUAAAUUUCAUAUAAUCUGAUGUACAUGAUAUCUGUGAACCCUUACUGUUACCUUCAAGUCUUUUAACAAAAAUAUUGAUCCAUAAUCAUUUACUGCAUGAAAAAUAAAUUUGGUUUUAAAACAUAGAAUGGAUUUGCAACACCUUUCAGAUAUUAUAACUUCCUAGCACACAUGCUCUUUAACUUACUUGGUUGGGGGAUCUCCUGCAGGGGGUGGGGCAGGGGGAAGGUGGGGUGAUAAAACUAAGUCAAGUCUCCAAAGAAGCUUCAGGAAAAUCGAACUACCUUGGUAGGGACAGAACAACAUCCAAUUGACACUAAGCAAUCAAUUCUAGCAUCUGGCCAUAAUAAUUGUGCUUCUCGUACGGCAAAAAUAGUAGGAUUAUUUGCAACAAUAGCUCCAUCCUGCCAACGGUAAGCACCUAUGAAAACAAGACAAGAAAGAGGAGCUCAGGUGAAGAUGCAGGUGACAAAGCUAGGAAAACCAAACAUAAAAAACGAGAACAAUAUGAGCGGUAACUCAGCAAGAACUGAAACAAAUACCGUCAGAGAAAUCAUCAAGGUAAUAUGGUGCAGCAGAAGAUGCUCUUAUAGCUUGCCAUACGUGGUGCUUACAACUUCCAAGAAAGGCGUUCCUCUUGGAUCCAACUUGGGCUCCAGAUGUUGCUGCUCCAAGGCCACCUGUUGUCAAGUUCUCAGAAAUUGCGGAGGAAAUCUCUGGAGUCCCAGCAGGGUACUGCACUUCAUCACAAAUAAAAAGAGGAAAAUAAAGCAAAACAUAUAAACCCUAACAAGAGACCUACAAAGAAAAUACAGACGUAAAGAUUGAAUAAUAGAUAAUCUCCUCACAAGGCACCUGGUAAUUGCGGAAUAUGAAAGGCUGAGCUGGUGCAACACUGACAAGAGUUGAUACCACAAAUACUUUGGGAACCCGUUUAACAGCUGAUUCUAUCAGAAGAUCUCCAUCCUCAUCAGCACACAUCUCCUUCAAUAAUCGCUCAAACUGAUCUGCACUGUGCUGGAAGAUGAUAAAAGAUAAGUCUCUAGUAUAAAGACAUAAAGGUGAAUGUCAUUCAAAGGGAAAAAAGAAGCACACAAGAAGUCUCCAAAGAGAGAACAAACACUCUCUUAACCAAUAUCACUUACUAAACAUCUCUAGGACAUACAAGAAUGCAAAGGGUAUAAUCAUUUUAUUACUUCUUCAAGAAAAAAAGUACCCCGCAAGGGAAUAUUAGUCAUCUCAACUCCAAAUAAGAGGGGAAACUUUAAACAAAUCAAUAGAAAAAGGAGAAAACUCUGAGAGCACUUUUAAAAGUAAUUCACAUUCUCCUCAAUAUAGGUAAUAGGGGCUAACAUUAUUUCACUGAAGAAAAAGAAAUUGGGUGCAAAAUAGAGCAUUACAUACUUUGGAUCCGUGCACAACAACUCUGAAACUCUGAGAUGAGCUUUUGUAAAGUUGAUCCAAUUUUUCUCUCCAACUUGCUGCUUCAUUGUCCUUCGGAACAGGUUCAGCAAAAACAAGUUUCCCUGGAAAAUGUGGGGAAAAAUAACAUCAUAAGAAGGUAUAGGAACCACAAAGUGGAAUGCCUUUUUAUGCAGAGAGCACACCUAGCUCUUUGUAUAUCUCUUCACAUCUUUCCAAGGACAUCAAUUUAAUUGCAAGAGCAACUGCAAGCAUGCCACCCGUUGAUGUACCACAAAUAAGGUCAAACAGCUCAUGUAUCUGUUUCCCAGUGCCCUUUUCAAUUUCCUUGAGCAUCCUGACAGUUGCCAGACCUUUCAUGCCACCACCAUCCAUGGAAAGGAUACGCAGCCCACGCUUUGGGACUUGCCGGCCUCUAAUAGCACGCCGCAGAACCUCAUUUUCGCCUGAGAUUGCACAAACACGUCUCAUCUUUCUGGAGAUCUAAAGAGAAUUGAUAGCUAAACAUGGAUUUCAACAUUGACAAACCAAGUAUAGCCAAAGCACGAGCUGCAGCUUUAUUCACACGUGGCUCGGAUGCAACUGUCAGUCGUACAAGAAGAUCCCUCAAACUUUCUGAAGUAACGAGUGUAUGCCGAUUCUCCAAGCAGAAAGCUAAAUUUCCCACUGCCAAUAAAGCUAAUGUUUGUACCUGAUCGAUACAAAAAGUCCUUUCAGACAAAUAGUGAAGAUUAAGUUUAAAAAAAAAAAAACACACAAAAAGAAGCUCUAAGAGAAGUAUACCUCCGUAUUUCUAUGGGCGCAUAAUAAUUUCAAAGAUUUUAGUAUAUCCUUAGUCAACAUUUUCUGAGCCACAAUAUCAGACGUAAAAGCCAACUUAACCACAACUUGCAGCACAGAUAUUACUUCUUCUUGACUGGCAGAUUUCAGCACUCCUUCAAUUGGUUGCAUGAUGUCAGUCUUUAUCAACUGCAUUGCCACAGAAACAUCUGAAGCAAGAGAUGAAAGAGCAGAACAAGCUUGCUCAACCUGCGAAGAAAGCACGAAUAAUUAGACCUCACACCUGAUGUGAAAUUAAGACAAAGACAGACAACAAAUUGAGUAACAAACCACGUGUUGAUUGUCGCUACUUAUCAUACUUAUGAGCUGCCGCACUGCAUUCUCAUCUUUCCCAACGACAACCCGAUUUCCCUCAUCUUGCAUUAUCUUUGCCAGAGCAGAUGCAAGCAAAGGGUGAUGACAAGAAGAAAACCGGAAUAUGAGAGAAAAGAAGGCACUCAGUUUAUGCCGAGAUGCAACAAAGUAAGAACUGUUCUCCAUCUGGAAGAAUCAGAGAAGAAAAGGAGUACUUAGCACUGAUAGUAGAACACCAAAAAAUGGGAAUAGAUAAUUGUCUAAUACCUCUAUCUGCACAUUCAAUGAUCUAAGAUUGUCAUCUGCAACAAUCCUGAUAUUUGCAAGAGACAAAUGACGAAGUUUAUGCAAUGGUAAGAUAUCAGGGAGGAACUCCAUUGGAUUUCCAAAUAGCCUUAGAACCCGCAACUCAGCCAUAGACCUGUCAUAAGCUGGAAAUGAAUUAGGCCUCAAGGACAAUAAUUAUAACCAAAUUCAGGCAUAAGCAGGUAUAAAUCUUCAACCAGUGAUAAAGGUAGCUUCAAUGACCUGAAAUCAAGAAGAGGCCGGACCAAUUUGUUGUGUUCCAGAGACAAUUCAAGUAAUCCAUCACAUUGCCUUAGUUCAGCUGUAACAAUAUCAUAUCAAGACGAGCCAGAAAAUACCAUGGUCACAACAACAGAUGAAAUAAGCAUAUAUCUUUGAUUUAGUUCAAUUAAUAACAUAAAAUACAGUCACAAGUAACAUCCCUGGAGAUGAUACGAGAUAUGUAAUCAACAUUGUAUGCAACAUAUAAUUGGAUCUUACCAGGAACAGAGGCCAGCAGGUUGAAGUCAACUGCAAGAACUUUCAAGUUUUUUAGCCCACCAAGCUCAGGUGGCAAAGUUAAUAGCUUGUUGUUAUCAAGAUAUAGCUUCUCAAGUAGUGGCAGUUGGGUUACCUCCACAGGCAAGACCUGUAAUAGCAACAACAGAUUGUAAAGAAUUAGUAAACCUCUAAAAACUAAAUUAAAUUAAAUAAAAUCCCAGCCCCCUGCGAACAACCUCUAAAAACUAAAUUAAAAGAGAGAGAGAGAGAGAGAGAGAGAGAGAGAGAGAGAGAGAUUCUGUCUUCAUUAACAUCCUCAAACCAUAAAGUACCAAAGUCAUCUUGCUACUCCUGAUUAGCUUAAACCAACCUCCAUGAGAAUAAUAGAAAAUCUUCUCCUCUAUGCUACUGCUUCUUAACAAAUUCAAAGGAGGCAUUCUUGCGAAUAUUUGACACUGGACCAGUAAUAAAGUGGGGAACAUUGGGCUACCAAUAGCUAUUGUCAUGAACAGUUUUGCCACCCUAUAACUUCUACUAAUAUAAACAGUCAUAAGUUCAUCAAAGAGAAAAUCAUAGAACAAUAAGUAAAUCUUCCAUCUUUUUUUUUUCCUGUAUGUCCCCUACUACAACGAUUAUAGUACGAAGAACCAUACGAAUCACACUGUGAUAAUUUUUCUGUUCAUCUCUCCCAUUUUUUCUGUUCCAGUUGGUGGCAAAUGCAGAAUACUCUAUAAACCAUAUUGGCUUUAAGGAAAGAAAAGGCAAAAGUAGACAUUGCAUUUGCAUCUUAUAAAACUGAAGAACACCACAAAAUCUAUCAUCAAAAGAAUACCAUAUGAAAUGAAUACUCACUGAUAAUCCCAGACCACAGAGACUGACCAAAGUGACACUCUUCCAAUGCUCAGCACACCCUACGACAGCCCCAACCCCAGCUCCGUGCCCUGCUCCAGCCCCCUCCGCAGCCGCACCUCCACCUCCAACCCCAUUCGCAAAAUUUGACCUCAUCAGCCUCACAAAAACUCCCAUCCCAUCACUCUGCUGGCCCGAUCCCCCAACUCUCCACAUUAUAACCCCCUUCAACGGCUCCCUCCUCUUCACCACCCUCAUCUCCACUCCCACCUCUCCCCCAAAAUCCUCCCCAGCCACGCCGCUGGCCACACUACCCUCCCCACUUUCAACAAUCUCGCCGCCAUUUUCCAAAUUUCUAGGACUCUUCUCCUUCUCGUUCAUUUCAACUUCGACAGUGUCCUGCGGCGACGGCAGCGCGACCAUGACCUGCGACUGGAGCCGGAGAGCGACCUGAUCCUCAUCCUCGCCGGCAGUCCAGUCGAGGUCAACUCGAAACCCGAAUUGCUCAUGAUUAUUUUCCUGUGAAAGCAUUGCAAGGGAUGAGCUGAAUGACGAGGACCCACCCACGCCGGCGGCCGACGACGCCGACGACGAUCGUGAUGACCUUGGGCUGGCGUCAUCCAAUGCGUCAUCGGCGCCGUAGCUUAAGGUGACAUGGAAAGUAUCCGAUGGACGUUUCCAGCCCAACCCCCACGACAUUGUUGAAUUUGGAUUUCCUUUGUUUUCUGUUGGUCAUCAAAUUUUAUUGGACAAAUUCGAUCUGAUUAAAUUUGAACGAAAAUGGUGAUUGACAUAUCAUUUUUCUGUAAACUUUUUAUAGGGUUUUAGAGAAAUCGUUACUCUCUCAUGAGUGUGGAGAGAGAAGAAGAGAGACAAAAUAAUGUGUUUUUUUUUCCCCCCCCAGUUUCAGUAGUGCAGUUUCUCCGAUAAGAGGCGGGUUCAAUGAGCAAGAAGACAACUCAAAAGACGCCGUCGGCUCUCGGCUUGCUUACUUCGUCAAUAAUCCAGAAGUCAGACCAACCAUUUACGACGACGUGUCCUCUGGAAUAUGCACCGACCAAUUAUUUCAUUCUACAUUUUUAUUUUCUUUUUUAAAACAUUUCAUAAUUGUUUUAUUUUAUUUUUGGGAAAAGAGAGUAUACUUUUGCGUUACUUCUAAAGCACUCAUCGGGGAAGGGUCCGAUAUCCAGCUACCUUAAAUCAUCCUUUUGGUUGUUUAAUUGCAUUAAUUCACUCAAUAAUCUUCCACUUGCUUUACUUCAAUACAAAUCCUUAUACUCCUAUAAAAUUGACCAUACCAAUGCCUAUCCUAUGCCCUAAUAAAAAAGUUUGGUUAGGGUUGAUGACCGAAAAUUUUGAUAAAUCAUUUAUUCUGUUCUAGAUAUAAUAUGUUAAUCAAGGAGUCCUCGAUACUCGUAAGAUAGUAAAAAAAUUUAACUAAUUUAUUAGGAUUAAUCUUCUUACACCAGUAACAAGAGUUUAACUAAUUUGUUAGUAUAAUUAAUCUUUCUUACACCGGCGAGAUAUAGAUGCAUCACAUUAUUUUAAUCUAAAUUUGAUACUGAAUUUGAAUACCAAACUUUACAUUACAUAUAUGAUGACGUCCAUUUACAUCCGCUAACAUUAUAUACACUAUCUGUGCAUAAAAUAUUUACCCAAUUUAUUGUGUCAUAUUUUCAAAUGUAAUAUCUCGUGGUGUUUUUAAGUCAAACUGCAAUUUUUCUUUUUUUAAGAUUACAAAGAACCAUGAUACAGGAAAUAAAUAUAAUUAACAAAAAAACCAGCCAACAAAUGAUGCAAAAACAAUUUGUAAUACUUUAAUAUACUGUUGUGUUUUUUAUUGCAAAAACAAAGUGGAAUUGCAUCACUCAUUCGUCAUCUCUUGAGCUAGUUAUCUUGACUAAUUAUGUCAAAAAAAGUUGUCUUGACUAAUUAUAUGUCAGAUGAGCUAAUGGACAGCAUAACGUGUAACUUGAGAUAGAAAUACACCAUGCAGUAUUAGUCCAGCAAAUGCAAAUAUUAAAGAGAAUAGUAUACAUCCCCUGCAAACUUUUGAGAGAGGGCAAAGAGAAUUGUCAACAGAUACUAAAGGGAGGACAAAAGAGAAGAUCUGGAUUUGGAGAAACAUUUUUGACCAAGCAAAGGGGGAGAUGGGAAACUGGAAAGGCAGGGAGCCACAGAGAAAAAGAAAUUUGGCAUGGAAAGGCAAUAAUUGGAAUGACUGUACCAUGGGUACAAAUAAUAAAGAGGUUAGACAUCACAGGAGUAGAUGCAAAAAAAAUACUUCUCUAGAAACAUUCUGGAAACAAAUAUGAAUUUGGGCAACUGUAGAACCUGAAGAGCAGCAACAGUAAAUAAUAACUAAAACAGGAGGGAGGCAUUGCCGAUAAUCAAGCAAAUAACAGCAAUAACACAAAACAAUGCCAGAUAGAUCUCUGCAAUUCUGAGGAACUUUAGAGCAUACUAUCUCCCUAUCCUGUGAAUGGUCUCUGAAUGGUGCCAACAGCAGAUCAUAAAGCUCGUAAACCCUGAUUACGCCUUCAGUUCCUUAGAAACUGAGGCAAAUAUCUCCUUCAGUUCCUCUUUCGCAUCAUUGCCCGCAAAAAUAAAGUUUAUGGCAUCCCUUGCAAGUGUAUGCAUUUCCUUCAUUCCAAGACCUUGAUGAAGUUGAAAAAACUCCAAUCAAAUUCAGAUGAGAGCUAAACAUGAACUCUUAUCACACGUACCAGAACAAGAAUUUGUACAAACCAUAUGCAGAAGCAGCAAGCCUGUACUCGUGUGAUAGGCUAGUAGAAAAUACCCCCAUGUCAUCAGUGCAGAGGCUAACUGGAUGUUCUGAAUUAUACAAAUCAGCUGCAACCAGGAAUCUUAAGGUUAUAUAGGUGAAAGAAGAACAUCCAUUCAAGGGCGAAUUUCUUUUUGAUUUCAAAGAGGAGGAAUUAUAAAAAAAUAGACAUUUCUCAUUUCAUAUUCUAGGCAAAAGUUAAUUUGAGUUCAGAUAACUUUCCAUCUUUAUUCAAGAUAUAAAUUAAAAAAAAAAACAGGAAAGAUAGACGAGUUUAGAAGGCCUACCAAAAUGGUGAACAUCUAACGAUGGGAUUGUUUCUGUUCUGAUGUUCGAUGUCAAACAAAUCUCAACCUGUGGGCAUGCAGUAGAUAAAGUCCAGAAGCUCAGCUAAACGAAUGUACAAUUGCAUCAAAAAUUUAAAUGAGGAUGCCUAAUAUGAGAGAACUUUGAUUUGACUCUUUCCAAUAUGAAAGAACUUUGAUUUGACUCUUUUUUUUUUUCCCAUGAAAGGAUUAUUAAGAUGAGUAACAUGUACACCUUUUUAGAACAACAACAAGAGGACCAAACUUACAAUUUAUUGAACUUAUGAAGUGGGAACAACAAGAUGUGCCCUCUUCAUUUAGUUGGUUAACCAAAAAUAGAAACCAUUGCAGCACUGAAUCUCCUGCUCUUCAAGAAAGAAUUACAUACCGGGAUCUUAAAUGACUUUAAUUUUCUCCAAUGGUCUUCCUCAAAGUAGCAGGCAUGGCCAAUUCUUCCAGGAAGAAAAUCUAGCAUUGCAUGCACUUCCUCUGAAUUCGGUACCUACAAGCACUAAGUUACAAAAACAAGAUACUCAGAAUGACCAGUAAUAGACCAGUAACAAAAGCUAAAGAAAGAGGGACAAGCCAAAUGCACCUCCCCAGAGUGCAGAGUUACAGAAAGUCCUUGCUCUUUGGCAAACUUCAAAGCAGGCAAAAAUGUUUGCCUACGUAUCAAAAAGCGCAAAAAUAUUUUACACCUCUAGGGUGAAUAAUGGAUGAAACAAGAACAUAAUGAUCCAAAAUUAUAUAGCAGAGAGAACUACCAUUCACCAAUUACAGGAUUGCCAGAAAGGUCAAUUCCCACAACUCCUAAAUCCUUCAUUUGUAGAGCAAGCUUAACCUUGAAAAGGCAAAUAAGCAAAGUCAAUACUUGGCUACCGAAAUACAGAUACAUAUCAAAUGUCUGAUACUAUCUCGUUAACAUACUGUUUCCAUUGCAGCCUCCGUUGAUUCACGCCGGUCAAUACUUAGAAGAAGUCUCACACAUAUCUUUUUCCUUCGACUUUCACUAUUUCUAUCAUUAGCAGGAUGAGAAUUUUCAAUAGCUUCCGCAUCUAGUUUAUGAGCAAAAUCAACAUCAACAUUGUUGACGGCCCUUAAACCUUCCACAACAGCUUGCAUGUAUGAUUCUUUGCUCAUCCCUUUUGAAUCGUUUCUCUGUAUCAUUACAAAGAUAACAGUCCUUUACUAAAACAACUAAUGGCCUAUACUCGCAUUGCCUAACUGGUUGACAAGACAAUAAUUUCUGAAAAUAGUUCGAGAAGCAAGAGGACUCCACACCGCCCCUAAUUCGAGUAAUGAAAUACAUAGUAGCAAAGCCCGAUUAACAUAACACAAGUACCUUCGGAGUUGUUCUCAGUUCCAAAUACACGACAUUUUCAGCUGCAAAAUCUUCAACUACCUAUCAGCCAUGACAGGGAAAAAUUUUAUUCCUAAUAUCUGCAGCACAAUCAAAAUGAUCAUCCGAGGGAAUCUUUUAUACCUCCUUAGUAAUUUUUGUAACAGUUUUGUGGUCAGUAGUAAUAAGGUGGAUCAAAUCGAACAACUUGAAAACCUCAACCAGUGAACGAUCAUCUGAAAAUGAUUUAGACUAAGUCAGUUCUGGUCUAUCUCAGAAUAUUCAGGAACCAAAUUUAGAGAUUGCAAAACCAAGUGACAAAAUGGACAUACGUUUUAGGAUGACCUGCUCAAAAUCUGAGAAAACUAUAGUUCCCUUAUCUCCCAAUUCUCUUGCAAGUUCCCUGCCCAUAGAAAUCUCAAACCAAUAGGUGUUAUUUUGAGUCAACACAUAACAACAAAAGAACACAAAAAAAAAAAAAGAGCGAAAAAAAAACUUUCAUUUUCUACUUAAUACCAACAUAGUAGCAAUUAGUCAAAAGUUAUCCAAAAAGCAGUCAACUUUGAGAUGAAUUCAGAGACCAAGUAUGAAGUUAGAUGAAGUGAAGUUAAUAAGCAAAACCCAGGUGCCCUUUUACUUUAAUUAUCAUCAAACAAUCAAAAUCAAGAAACCAACAGCCCGAAAAUUGUAGCAUUCGGAGAGACAGAAAAGGAGCAUACAGCAAAGUGGAGUCCCGGAUGGAGCCAUUAAGAUGUGCGUGUAGUUCAAUCUUUGGCAUAGUUUUCCACCAUUCUUCCAUCUCUUUCUGGUGGGAUGCUUUUUUUUGUUGGUUGUCUUGGGUGAGAGAGAUUUCUGGUUCUUGAUUUGAGCAGGCCUGACGGUUUACUUCAGCGGGUGGAGCACGGUAAAUUCAGGCGUCACAAUUAGCUCUGUUUGUUUGACACUUUCGUCGCGGAAGAAAAAGUGAAGUGAAGUGGAGUGAAAUAAUGGAAAAGAAAAUUAACUUUUUGGCAUGUGCUUGAUUAACAAGAAAAUGAUGCAAAAAAAAAUAUAAAUUUUUAUGUUUGUUUAGCCAGAAAGUCACGAAAAAAAUUAGUGAGUGUGUUCAUUAAUUAGAAAAUAUUUAAUAUUGAACUUCUUUAUUUUUUGUAUUUAAUAUAUGUAAAAACAAGCAAUAGUUAUCAUAGUUUGCAUAUUGGAAGAGUUGUUUACUUAAAAAUUAAUCAGGUUCUUUAACAAUAAGCUUAAGUUUAUGUGUGUGUGUGUGUGUGUAAGUUAUUUCAAAUAUAUAUAUAAACAUAAAAAAAGGAGCUUAAAUGUAAAAGAAAAAAAAUACUAAUGCCAUAUGAAUUCAAUAAAUUACUAAUUCAUUAAUUAUUAAAAUAAGAAUAGCAUGUCUAACUACAAAGCCGGUUUUGAAUUAUAAAUUCUAAAAUACUCUAAUUUAUGUAGAAAUUUAAAGUGGAGAAAAUAUUUUAAAAAAAAGGAAAUUGUUAAAAAAAUCUGAUUAAUUAAAAUUUUCCCGUGACUCACUUUCGUAUCAAUUUUAGUAAGAAAAUUUUAUAAAAAAAAAAAAUGAGCGGUUGCAGGAAAAUUUUAUGUAAUGGAUCCCAUAAACUUGCAGGCAAACAAACGUUCAGAAUUUACGGGAAAGUUAUUUUCUUUCACUUUCCUUCCCUCCUCCUCCUGAAAAACAAACACACAAGAAAUCUACGCGAGUCAAAUUUAUUGGGCCUAUCAACUGGAGCACUUGUAUAAUCGUUGCAGGAAAAGCUCUCAUCUCUUGAACCAAACUUGUCCCAGCAACACACGGUAUUAAAAGCCCAGUUUGAUCGUUCUACAUUUUUGGACUUUGGGCCAAUGUAAGAGAGUUAAUCUUCUUUUUUUUUUUUUUUUUAGAAAACUAAAAUGGCAAUAAUCUUUCUUUUUUUGGUUGAGGAAAAAAAAAUGAAAACAAUCUAACCAAAGCUAUCAUAUGAGGUAAAAUCUUAGGGAUCUCAUGAAUUGCCAUUGGCAAUGUACGCCAAAUCACUUCCGGCGAGCUCGAUUCCGUUUGAAUUGCAUUUUUUUUUUGGAAUUUUGUGAGUUUUUAUAAUGUAAUGUAUGUAAGGUAAAAAUAUAUAUUUGAAAACGUGUUAAGCAAAUAUUUUCACAAAAAACUCAAAAAAAAAAAUUUUUUUCUCACCAAAACUAACUUUACACCAAGAAAGUGCAACUACUUAAUACUUUAGCCCAAGAAAACAUGGGUUGUCUUGCAUCUGUUCCAACCCUGCAGUCAAUCUUCAGAGACAAUCUCCAUAAAUUCGCUGAAGUUUCUGCAGAAAUUGCAGGCUACUGAGGCAUUUACUAUUCAGUAUUGGUGGGCAACAAAGAGCCAUGUGGAUGUUCUCGCUUGUCCCUUAAUGUAAAUGCACAACUGCUACGGUACUAAUAUCUUAUGUUUCAUCAGCCAUGGUGGGGUAGGAAGGACUGAGGGAGGAAAUGCAGCAUCUGUGUAGUUUACUGAGGAGCGCGCAAAACGAGGAAGUUUUUGAGAAUUAACCUAAAGAAUUUUCAGAAGGAUAAUGAUAAUAGUACACCUAAAAAAAAGUCCUGCAUUUCAUCUUUUUUUUUUGCUUUUAAAGGGAGGAUAUCCGCCCCGGGGUCGGCUCGACUAGUGUUGGGGUAGUUUCAUUAGGUCUUGGCACCGUUAGAGCUAUAAUCGAGUCGAGUUCGAGCGAGUAGUAUUGUUAGAACUCGAGCUCGAGUUCGAAGCUUGCUCGCAAUACUCGAGCUAGACUCGUAUGGGUUCGAGUGCAUGCGAGUCUUAUCGAGCUCGGUCAAGUUCGAGUUAUUAAAAUUCAUUUUCUUGAUAAUUUUUAAGCGAAAAGACAUUAUUACCCUUUUAAAAUUUUUAUAUGACUUAAAAUAUUUUGUAAAUUCGACAAUUCUUUUGGGUAUAAGAGUAAUUUUAUAAUAAUAAUAUAUUAAAUAAUUAAAAUUAAAAUGCUCGAUAAGGCUCGUCGAGCCUUCGAGCAUCGCUUUUGAAUGCUCGAACUCGAUUCGAUAACCUUAUCGAGCUGCUCGAAUUCAACUAACCGAGUUCGAGUUAAGCUUAUGAUUGAGCUACUCGCGAGCAGCUCGGUUCGAUUACAUCCUUAGGCACCGUGUGAUCGUGGUUCAAUUUCUCUAUCAUUUGGUGUAUCUUAGAGGCGGAUACACAAAUUCAGGGAGAUUAGUCUGAAAGGAAUACUCUUUGUGAUGACAAAAAACAAAAAGGAGGAUAUCCUAGCGUCACUGGCCGGCUAUCGUAACUUAAGCAACUCGGACUUGUGCGGACCGUGUCACUAGGAAGGAUUGUGACCUCUCGAGUUGAAGAAGUAUUGUCCAGUUACAUUCAAUCAUGUAAUUGCUAUAAUAUUUGGUCUAAAUUUGAGUAUAAGUAUGAAUUUGUUAAUUACUAAGUUAGAAAGAAAAAUCACAAUUACACUAAAAACGUAUAAAGUUAUGCCAAAAAUUACAACAAUCAGACCGAACUGGACAAAAUUUAACGUGAAAGACCCCUAAUCCAUGGGAGGAUAUAUGGAGCGCCAUAUAAUCUUCCUUUUCCAGAAAGGGUAAAUGCAAUUUCUCUGCACUAUCCUCGCUUUCUACUUGCCCCCAACUAUCAACUUUAGCAAUUUAAUAUGUACGUCUGUGACUAUGAAAUUUUGAAACAUUUAAAAUUCAAUGAUUUUUUUUUUUACAAAUUUCUGUUGAAAAUACUUUAGUACUACCUCUAAUUUCAUCCGUUAAUCGAUAUAAAUUCAUUCAUUUAGGGGUAUUUAAGUCUUUUCAUUCAAAAAUCGCUAUCAAAAUUUUUGGACUAUUAAUUGAUUUGAGCAAUGUGCUAUAAAUUCAUGAUAUAAAGUAUUCGGGUGUUACAAUUGAUAGCGGAGAGUAUAGACUGGAAAUUAUUGAAACUUUGGGGAUGCAAAUUGUUAUUGUUCUAACUUAUUUGAAACUAGCAGCAACUCAAGGAGGAAGACUACUUACUAGAACUACAAGUAGCUUUGACAUCUUUUUUCCCUGACGCGAUCCUCUGUCCAUUAUAUAUCUUCAUUUUUUCUGUUCAAUGCAAAACUACAUAGUUUUAUUUAUUAAUAUUGCUGAUGUGGCACAUAACAUUGAGUGCAUAUUUAGGGUUGUUUGAUAAAUGGGUUUUAAAUUCAAUAAUAUCCUAAUUGUACUCAUAGGCUUCUACUUUUGAAUUUCAUGCUGCAUGAUUCAAAUGAGAUUAGGCAAGCAUUUGAGGACGAGAUCUUUGAAUUUGUCAGAGCUGCAGUUACGUGCAGUCAUGUUGAUUCAGAAAGUAGGCCGUCCAUGCUAAAAUUGAAUUUGAAACCCAUUUACCAAACACCCCCUAAAUAUGCAUUCAAUGUUAUGUGCCGCAUGAACAGUAUUAGUAAGUGGAAUUACGUAAUUUUACAUAAAACAAAAAAAAAAUGGACAGAUAUAAUGGACAGAGGAUCCCGCCUGCUCUUUUCCCUUUUUCCUACUAAAUUUGCUCUUGCCGACUACUUAUAUUUAUUAAAUUGAAUAAUCUGCGGCCUCUUCGGGCAAAAUUUUGCCCCUUUAUUCAGGAUUAUGGUACAUAUGAAUAUAUAUGAUAUGAUUUUUUCUAUUCCCCAAGGACACAUAAUAAGAACACACCCAAAAAAAGAAAACAAAAGUGAACUCAGCAUUAAAGCUUUAUUACCACCCACCCUCCCAAAUUAUAACUCUUUCUUGGAAGAAAUUUGCCUUUUUGUACAGACAAAAUAACACUGAUACUUUCUUAUUGUGUGACUUUUGGCACUGGAUACUGCAGAGACGAGCCUAUAGUAUCAUAAGUUAUCUAUGCUUACUUAUAGUGUAGCCUGAGUGACCAAGCUAUGCUUGCUUAUAAAACACUUCAUUAUUGGCCGAGUAUUCAAGUCUUUUCCUCAUAAAUGCACUCUACUAAGAAGCUGCAAUUUCUGCGCAAGAACCCCAGCAAAUCCUUCAGCGAAGCCAGUUGAAGUGAAAAAAAACAUGCAGAAUACAGAUAACGAUGGACGUGGACGACACCCAUACGGCUGGAACUCAAAAUUUGCAGCUUCGAUAGCCAGUAGCAGCAGUACACAUAGCAUUCCUUGCAAAAGCCAAUAUAUGAUUAUGAUAUGUAUUUAUCUUAGACCAAGAUUUCCGCAAUACAAAUCAACCAGAGCCAGAAAAUUGCCCCAUCAUGUUCCGUUCAGAAUUCUCAUUCCACCAGAAAAGCAUUGAGCAAAAUAAUAUGCUGAUAAUGCCAAGUAAUAUAUAUACUGUGGCCAUAACUCACUAUCAUACGGCCCAUACCAGCUUGUAAGAGGUGAUACCAUUUGCAUUAACUGUGUUUCAACUGCCUUGUAUCCCACACUUUGCUGUCAAUUGUCGGUUUGUAACAAAUGCCAUACCUGCCGGAGCAGUGUGAAGUUAUACGUAUUCAUUUUACUGAGCCACCAAGUUCUACCAAAUGUAUAGUAACUAAAUGCGUUUGUUUCAUUCGCGCGUAUUAAAUAGCGAAACAAACAGAUUUAGAUCCUGUUUGAUAAUGCGAUUCAUCACUUAAGUUCGAUGAUUCAGAUUUUAACAUAUUCACACAUGUUUAAUAACAAAAAUUUGAACACCUAAAUUGACUAAUAAGUGAUACUGAAUUUUUUAAAUAAAAAAUGUUCCUAAAAAUAAGUAAUAAACUAUCCACUUAUCACUUAAUGUUAUUAUUUGAUGUGAUAUAUACUUAAACAUAUUAGAUUUAGUACUUAACAAGUCAAUAUUUAAUGCAUAGGGAUGUAAUCAAGUUGAGUUUGAGUAUUACCAUACUCGAGCUCGAUUCGAUAUACAGGAAGGAUAUUCAAACUCAAACUUGAUCUCGAGCGAGUAGCAUCACUGAAGCUUGAAUUUAAACUCGAUAUAUUGCUCACAGAACUCAAGCUCAACUCGCAUGGAGUUUGAGUCAAUGCGAACCUUAUUGAGAUUGAGUUAGCAAGAUUUGGAAAUUUCAUUUUUCUUGACAAUUUUUUAGUGAAAACACAUUAUUGUCCUUCAAAAAAUUUCAUAUGACCUCAAACAUUUCAUAAAUUCAACCAUUCUUGUGGCCAUAAGGGUAAUUUCAUAAUUAGAAUAUAUUAAAGAAUUAAAAUUAAAAAACUUAUAAGGCUCGACGAACCUUCAAACCUUACUAGUGGAUACUCGAACUCGAUUUGUUAGGCCUAUCGAGCUACUCGAAAUCGAUUCGAACCAGAUCAACUCAAGUCCAAAUCGAGUUUUUGACCGAACUUCUCUUGAGUAACUCGAUUAGAUUACAGCCCUAUUAAUGCAUUUAAAUUUCAAUUUACUCGCGAGCAACUCGAUUCAAUUGCAAUCCUAUUAAUACAUUUAAAUUUCAAAUUUUAGACUUCAAUUUUAUCAAAUACACUCUUAUUAAUUAUUCUGAUUUGUUUAUCCGUCUUCAAGACAAUAGAAAGCAAAAUAUAUAUUCCUAUGCAUUGUGCAUGUUUGAAUGUUUCUUUACUGUUCAUUACCGCGAUACAGCUGUAUCCUUAUUUUGGACCAUGCUAACCAUUCUCAAUUUGAAUACGUCUUAUUCUUUGAUUCCUUCGAAUCACGUCUGCUCAGUAGAUUUUAAAAACUUUUCAAGUAUGAAAAGCACUCCUUUGAUCACUUCAUAUGUGCAAAGUACCAAAAAUUAGUUCCAUGAGUUUAUUAUCUCGAUUUGUUUUGAAUAUAAUUAAGCCCAUAAAAGAUCAUAAAGGCAAAGUAAUGAACGUGGGCUCAACAUCUCAAUCAUUUUAUUUGCAAUCAAGGAUGAGAAGGGAAACACAAUUGGAGUUGCUAUUAGUACUAACUUAGAUAAAAGAAACCUUUGAUUAUUGACAUGUAAAAGCAUUUACCCAAGCUAAGAAUCCACGCAUUAUCCUUGAGCAGUUUUGCUACCAGCUCGUUUUAGCCUUGCAAUCCUACCAAAAUUUAAAAAAUAUAUGUAUUGUAGCGCAACGGAUCUUCUGUCUCAUACUCUGUGUCACUCUCUGUCCCGUUUUAUAGUCUCCUACACAAAAUUAAUAGCUGUUGGAUCUUAAGAAAAUAAAAAAGAACUAAAACAUGAUAUUUAUGCAGGAGAAAUACCAAUAUAAUAAAAAACGGGACAGAGAGUGGCACAGAAUAUGAGACAGAAGAUCCGUUGCGUUAUUGUAGUCUAGCAUGACUCUCUAACUUUAUUUCUCUUUCCUCUAAAGCUAGUUUGCAAGGUACAUAAGUCCAGAUAAACCUGUCAUAACUUCCUAAUCAUUUUUUUCCCAAAGCUAAUGUUGUACAAAUUAACCAUUAACGAUCCAACAACCCCCCGGGGAAAAAAAAGAAAAAAGAAAAAGCGCUUCAAAGUCCAUUGAUGAGAACUUCUGAGACUGGAAUUUUUUUAUGCCACAUAAAUUAACCCUGUUUAAAUUACGUGUUUUUGCAGAAUAAUCCUCUCAGCACAUUUCAACAAACUAUAAGGCAUUUGAUCAACAAUAUAAAUUAUUUUGAUCAACAAUAUAAAUUUAGAAUAGAUUUUUGAGGACUCCAUCUGUGGGCUUAAAAAAAAAAUAUACACCACGAAUUUUCAACCUUUUUUGUGGCCAAUCUUGGCCAUCAAUCCUUGGGAACGUUUAAUUCAUCCAUAAUCUACGUGCAUGGAAUUAAAUGUUUCACAUUCAAGUUGCUAAGAACAAUCCAAAUGGUGGUGUUUGGCAUCCAUCCGUUUGGCCAUAGAAUUCAUACACUUUUACUUUGAAAAGGCUGGACUUGACGUUUUCAAGCUUUUUCUUUUUUAAAUAGGAAGAAAAAUCGUAAAGUCGUUUCCCUUUUCUUUCCUUUUUUUUUUUGUCGUUUUAUUGCAUCCAUUUAAUAGCACAGCCUCCGACUAUCCAUAUAUAAGUACUGUCGUUUUUUUUUUUUGAGAUAGGUGUGCUAGAUUUGGUUGGUUCCAAUUUCCAAAGUAAAACAGAAAAUGAAGUAUCUUAAAUAUAUAAGCUUAUUUAGGCAUAUCCAUCCUGGGAAACAUAUAUAUAUAUAUCAAAGCGGGCUUUUUCUAAUAGCUAGCUGUCCAAUAUCUAAAUUAUAGUACUACUACUACAUAAUUCGUCACUUGUAUUUAUUGGGAUCUCGUCAAACUUUCCAGAAUUGGGAGUGUGUUUUAAAACUGAUGACUGAAUAAGAAACUUUAAUCUCAGAGCACUAAAUUAAUUUUCCAACAACCAGCAAGAGGAAAUUUAUUUAAUUACUACAAUCUGCUGACAACAAAUUUAUAGUACUGCUGCUACUUCACAAGGACAGAAACAGAACCCCCGCCCCCCCUAAAAAAAGUAAUAAAACCGAACCGAACCAGACUUAGUGCAAGGAGGUAACAUUAAUUUACUAAAAUUUGAAUGUUGCAGAUGAAGCAAAUUAAAUGGUCCAAAGAAGAUUCCACCAAAACCUUCAAACCUUGUUCCUAGGCAAAAUAAUUGCUUUCAAAGGAUUCUUCAUCACAACCGUGAAGGCAUAAGUCUCUGUAGGGUCAGGAGGGUUAUCCGGAAUUGGAAGCCACUUGAAUGCCUGAACCAUUCUAGCCAGCAGCAAAUGGAUAUGCAGCGUACCCAAUGUCCAAGCGGGGCAGAUCCGCCGGCCGGCCCCAAAUGGCAGCAUCUUCGCCCCCUUCACACCGGUAAUAUCCACGUCGACACCGUCUCCGAUCAGAAAUCUCUCUGGCCUGAACUCAUUAGGGUCCUCCCACAGGCUAGGGUCCUUGGUGAUCCAUUCAGUGUAAAAUUCUACACUUGCAUCAGCUGGAAUAGUGUAGCCUCCUAGCUCGGUUUCCUUAGUGGAAGCAUGUGACAAGACAAAAUGACUUGGAGGAUGCCUUCGAAAUGUUUCCUUGACUAUUGCCACAAGAUAUGGCAUAUUCUCCACAUCUUUCUCAGUGAUUUCCCCGUUUUUCCCUACCAAAUCAACAAUUUCUUUGUACAACUUCUCCUGAAUCUCCUGAUUUGUCACCAAGCGAUGCAUAGCCCAUUCUACAGUCGUUGCACUGGUAUCCGUACCAGCACUUAUGGUCUCAGAGCACAGGGUAACAAUUUCCUCCUCACCAAGCUUUCCACGGCCUGGAGGCGCAAGCUGGAACAAAGAAUCAACGUAGGCAGCUCCAAUAUCGCUGACCAUUUCCGACCUCGGGGAGCUAUUUUUGCUUCCACCACUCUCCACAAACGCUCUUCUGUCCCGGAUCAAAGGGACCAGGGAAUCUAGCUGUCUCCUUCUCAACUCUUUUGCUGCCUGCACUUGGCCUCGAAAUAGUGGUGUGAGAAGCGGCAAAAAGUCUGGCAGCUUUGGAGAUGUUAUCAGCAUGACUUCUUUGAGUAUGCAUUCGAUUUCCUUGAUCCAUUCUUCCGAGAUCUUUGCUCCAAAACACAGACAAAUGAGAAUGCUGCAGAUAGUCUGCCUGCAGCUGCUCAUCACCUCCACAAAACCCUCUUCAGAACUCCGUUGAUGGAGCCUUUUCAUGUGGUUUUCGAUAGCCCAGUUCCUUAUCCAGCUGCACUGUCUGAUUCUCGUCGGAUUUAUCAGCUCGGUGACAAGGUUCCGGCGGAGAGAACGCCAAAGAGGACCGUAUUCUGCUGAGUUUAUGGCACAUUUUCCGACGCUAAAUAACAGCCGGAUCGGAGAGUCGGCCGGCCGGCUGGCGAAGAGGGGGCCUUUCUGAACUAAGGCUUCAUGAAUGAGCUCAGGGCUUGUGACAACUAUAAGGGUACGUUGGCCCAUUUGCAUGGUGAAAAUAGGACCAUAUUUGGCACGUAAAUCACGUACCACAAAAAUGAAGUGCUUUCCUUGGAGGAUAACUUGGAAAAGGUUGCCUACAAGUGGCCAACCUGGUGGCCCUGGUGGGAGGUUCUUGGCUCCGCCACCGGUGACCGACCAGUAUCGCCACCAUAAACGAAAAAGAAGAGCCACUGCCAAGAGUAUAACAAGAUCUGUCCACUCCAUUUCUUUGGGUUUGCUAUCUUUGAGGCGCUUGUUUGGAGAAAAGAAAAGGGGGUUUGUUUGCAGGGGGGCAUUAUUUCCCUUAUAAAGAAAAUAAAAGAGUGGUGGCCUUGGGUGAAUGAAUUUUACUGGAGCACUACAAUAAUAGUCUAUGAUUCUCUUAUUUCACCAUCAACCACCAGUGUUAAAUACUCCUGUAUUUUAUCAGCAGCUUUUACAGUUGAGUACAGAUCGGAACAAUUAAAUCAAGAAAAUGCACAGUUCAGUCUAUUAAAUGUGUGCAUUUAUGGGAAUACUCAAUACUAGACGAGUCAGGCUGUGCUCCACAUGUGACCUUAAAAAGAAUCUCAUUAACAAAAGAUGGAACUUAAUUUCCAUGCUAAAUUUCUACUACGCAGAGCCAGUGUGCCCACCUCUAAUCUAAUGACCCCUAGCUAUAAGAAAUCUAACUAACAAAAAGAUAGAAAUUUGCAAGCUAAAUUUCAACCAGUUAGCUCCUCAAUUGACUAAAUGCAUCCUAUACUUUACUAACACGAAUGAAAGUUCCUCCACAGCUAACUAAUUUUAGAGGGUGUUUGGACCGUAGCUAAUUUUAAAAUGUGAUGUAUGUAAGAUAACAAGAUAAUUGAAAAAUGCGUGGAAGGAUAAUUUUUUUCCAAAAAAAAAAAAAGCAAUCCAAACACGGCCUUGCUUACGUGGAAUGGGCCGCCUCUCUCUUGCUACUCUUUGCAACAAAUAUCGAGCUGCCACUGCUAAAUCGUGAGCCACAGCUACCUGGCUCCUAUCUAUCUUAUUACAUAAUGCAACUGAAGAAUAGAAAGAAGACAAUAUCCAUUGUUACAUUCCCAACAGCCAAAGGCGAUUCUGAAGGAUCAGAGAGUAAUAGGCUGCUAUCAGUUUGCAUUAAUAUGUCCUUGCAACAAAGCAUUCGCAAUCCAACAAUCGACUCAAAGCAAGCUUGUGCUUCUGCCCGGAUAGCUGAUUCAACUAAUUUUGGUUUAGUCACAAUUUGCAUUACCGUCCCGUGAGAAUUCUAAACAAGAUGCCCGAUACCACCCUUCAUUGAAUGACUAUCAAACGAGCUAUAUAUCUAUGAUAACACUGAUAGGAUGUCUAGCAAACAUUGAAGGAUCAGGUUGAAAAUGAAGCUUCGUGUUCCCUUGCGUGAUUGAUUACUCGAGGUACUGCUGCAGAAUUCAGGCGAUCGAGAUGGACAUUCCACCUUGUCAGAUAGGAUUGAGGUAUUCCACAUAUGUGAUAGGCAGACUUGCACUGGACUAAUACUCACUUCUUCCCAAAGCAAUCCAGAUUUGGCAAAACGAUAGCAGGAUAAGAUCCUUAGACGGGACCAGCUCCACCCAUUGGCCAAACCACUGCUUAAGUAUGUAUUUUGUUUAAAGCGUGGGGGUACAUUGUGCGAAUAUGAAAAUUUGAUAUCAAACUCAGAGAUUUUAGGUUAAAGAUUCGUCAAUCUUUCUAUUUCUUGAAUCUCACUAUUUUCCUAUUAAAACAAAUCUACAAAUUUUAUUUAUAACACGUGGUUGUUUUGGGAGGAGGGGGGGGGGGGAGAUAAUGUAUGAAUAUGACCAUGUGAUAUUAAGAAGACGAGAAUUUUUCUUGUGAAAGACGAGUUUUUUUUAAGUCGACAUUAGUUUAGGCAAGGAUUUUAAGUGGCACAAAUGGACUUUGUCGAGUCAACAUUAGUCUUAAUCAGGCACAACUCCACGCUUGGGCAAAAUAUAUAUUCAUGGUUUGGGGUCGUAUUCAAGAUCAAUUUUCAUCAUACGAGCUGCUACUGUUGGCAAUUGCUUUUAGUUUUCAGCCAAAUGAUUGAUCAUACUCUGAUUCCUUAAACAAAGAACCCUCCAAGUUGUCUCCUCUAAGUCUAGAUAUGAAGAGACCUCUGCUGAUGUUCUUCUGGCCCCGAAAUCUUUGACAUGCAGUUGGAGGGGGAGGGAGAAGUUUGCAACAUCUUUCACAUCUCAAACAAAUGUUUUUCUACGGUUAGCUACUCACACAGUAGUGUAAUAGGUAUACAGUUGACCCAAUAAAAAGAUAAAUUACACCUUAACGUCUCUUACUUCUUAACUCACACCGACUAUUAUUCAAUGAUUCAGCAACUUAUUGACUCUGCAAUUAAAGUGCAAAGCGCAUUUCUAGAGCAAUUGCGCUUUACAAAUUACAACCCCACAAAUGGCCGACAGGAUUCAAGAUUUUCUGUCCACCCUCCCGUCAAAUGCAAAACUAUAUAGUUCCACUUAUUAUAUUUACUGAUGUAGUACAGAAAAAAAGAAAGAUGGUUUGGCUGCCUUAUGCUUCUUUUUAUUUUUUAAUAAUAAGGUUCCCAAAAUUGUUUGCUUACACUUACAUGAGAAAGAAAAGAAAUUAUUUUGUUGAAGAACUUCCUUCGUCUUCUAAGCAGAAAAUGGUGGCAAUAGAUUUUGGGAAUUGUAACAGUAGCAACAGAGUUUUGGAAAUUGUAACAAAAUUGUGUAAAUAAAGGAAAUCCAAAAGAGAAAAAAAGAAGAAGAAGCAUAAAACAGCCAAACAGCAUUUCUUUUUUAUGUGCCACGUCAGCAGAUAUAAUAAGUGAAACUACGUAGUUUUGCAUCUGACAGGAGAAUGGACAAAAAAUCUUGAAUAUAGAAUCUCGUCUGCACAAAUGGGUGGCUAAAGAAUGUAAUGGCUACACAUGUCUAGAUAGCCACUAAUCUUUUUUUUUUUUUCGAAAACGACAACAAUUGUAUAAUCUAAUCUAUUUUAUACUAAGGGGAAAGGGACUGACCUAAAGAGACCCAGGGAUAAUUUGGAGGGGACUAAACCACCACCGAAUCAAACGGGUGCACAACACACCCGUCUGAAAAUUUUGAAACAAAUCACUUAAAUGUGACAUUUUGGUGGAAGGCAAGGUUCAAACCUUGCCUCCCAUCCCACCAAGCUAGGUGGUGGCCACCGGCCCAAAGGCUGGUGAUUUAGAUAGCCACUAAUCGUAAAUUAGAUAGCCACUAAUCGUAAAGGUUAACAUGGCUAGAAAAACUUCAACAUCAAUCGGUCACUCUCCCCUUCCCGGGAUGAGGCCCCCAUCCCCCCCCCCCCGGGUCAAUGGGUUCUAAUUCGUCGAAGGAGACGGCUCCCUGAACCAAUCCAAAAACUGAUGGGAAAAGUUCUUUCAUUUCCUUAUCCAGUACAGACGCCGCUCCAACAUUUAUCAGCCUUAAAAAAUAGAAGGCUACAACUUUCACAUGGUUUCCAAUUGUAAAUUAGAAGCGUUUGACAAAAACUAAACAUCAGACGAUCGAUCAAGUUUGGUAGGCUAAACAUGUGACAUAUGCCCAAGAAAUAAGGGCUAAUACGAUUCUAGUAUCCUUCCUGGUAUGUUUAGACUCGGGAUUUGAAAUACUAUUUGAGGGAAAAUUUUGGUAGUAUUUUUCAUGAAAAAAUUACUGUAACGAUUUGAUGUAUGUGAGGGAAAAAAAUAAUAGGGAAAUGUGAUCGCGAAAAACGACGUAAUUUUUCAAUAAAAAAUCGCAAUCCAAACAAGGCCAAUUAAUUUAUUUUCAGUCCCUUGCAUGAGUUCUCGAGUCAUAAUUUGAUUUAAGCUACUGAAAAAAUAUGAUUGCAAGACAGUAGGCUUGAACAGAUGCCAAUGGGUUUCUUAUUUACACUACUUACCACUGAGAUGAAACAUAGGUCCACGGCCACCCAAUGCAAUAAAGCAACAAGUCCCUUCUGCUAGUGCUUACAUUUAACUGCAAUCAAUUCUUUGACUACUGCACUGUCCAACGGUAGGUGCAGGCAACACAUUCUUUAAUUUCCUCCUCUGAGAGGAAAAGUCAUAGACAACUCAUUGACAGUGAUUUCGAGUUUUCUUUCUUCGUUUUUUCCCCCCCCCCCCCUCGGAGAGCAUUAAGAAUGAGCUGGAAGUUGGGAACCAGCACGUUUUACCGAGCGACCCUUUUCUGUUCACUCACAAACACAACACAGUUGCUUAAUUACCUAAACAACGUUAAUGUGGUCGUUCAGACUUGUCUUCAGGUGUAAUAUCGUUGCAAAUGAUCUAUCCUUGUGGGAGGGAACUGGGCUACGAACUUGGUUUUUGAUGGGAUUAACAUUUUUUAUUCUGAUAAUGUAAAGAUCUUUGGCACAAGAUAUAGUUUGUAUCAAAACACUGACGUUUUAAAAAAUCUUUACACAAUCAAUAUACUGAAAAAAAUUAUGCACGAAACGACUGGCAAGAAACAAGUUGCCGCGGAGAACCAGGGGGUUGGCUAUCCUUUACAAUAGAGGUGGGUACCGUCUAAUUGGUCCGAUAUGGGAGUAUUCGUUUCAUAUUUCUAGAAGUCUUGAAAUCGAAAUUGAUGGCUUAAAUCUGGGUCGCAUCUGAGCCUAGCUAUGCAGGUAUGCUUCUCUGUAAUUACACUAGCAAUGACAGAGAAACCAAAUCUGAUUGGAAUGGGACUAGAGAUAGGCCUGUCAAUUGAACCACAUGAGUCGGGUUUUCAUAAGUUCAAAUUCAGUUUAUUUAAUUUGUAACACUUUCAGGUUUCAAACCAUGAGUUUCGCGCAAAUAAAUAUGAUGAUCAUACUCAACUCACAAAAUAUUCGGAUUUUGAAUCAUAUUCGUGUUUAUCCUAAAUUCACUUAUUGCUCCUCAAUUUUCUUAAUAUAAUUAUUAUAACUAUUGAGUUCUAAAACUAAUUUUAGACCCAAAUUCAGACUGAUUCACUAAAAGAUCAAGCUCAUCGGAUUUUUUCUUGGAGCCAACGAGUCGAACUUGGGUUAACCUGGCCGAAUUAACAGUCCUAGGUAGAGAGCAAAUUAAUGAGGCAACCAUGUCCUCUUAACUUCAAAGGAGUAAUUACUCUUAACUCUUGGGUAGAUCUUGGUGUUGAAAAAUGCUGGCCUGAAUUAAUUUGUGUUAAUCUCUAUUCCCAUUCCACCUUUUCUCUUACAAGACAUAUUUUCCAUCAUCUUUCUUGUAAUCAAUUUUGGGUUUAUCUUCCAAUUUGUCGACAUUUAUCUUUCUAUGAUUUAAUAUUUAUUCAAUUUAUCUGAUCUCUUUUAGAGCAAUCGUUUUUAGUGUUUAAGGACUUGUUUGAUAGCUUUACUUAAUGCUAAAAAAAUAUUUAUUCAAAACUUUUUGAAUUUAUCAUGUUUGAUAAUAGAAAUACAUUACCACUUAAUGUGAUAAACACUGCUUGAUUUGUGUACAAAAUUUUAAGUGAAAAAAUUUCACUGAAAUUUUUGAAUUGACAACAUAUACUAACACAUAUUAUACCCCUGAGAUUAGGGAUGUAAUCGAACCGAGUUACUCGCGAGUAGUUCAAUCAAAAACUUGACUCGCACUCAAUUUUUAGGCUGUAAGAUUCAGGUUAAUAAAUGUGAUAAUCAUACUUAACUCAUAAAAUAUUCAGGUUUUGAGCCUUAUUUGAGUUUAGCCCAAACUUACUUAUUGUUUCUCAAUUUUCUUAACAUAAUUUCUAGAACUAUAGAGUUGAAAAACUAAUUUAACAUUCACAUGACCAUAAUAUUAAAACUAAACAUGAACAAAUAAUAUGUCUUAAAAAGUACAUAAUCAAGAAUUUUCAACAAUAUUUAUAUCUAAUUCAUUCAAAAUACAUGAAAAAUAGUAAUAAAACAUGCGGUCAUAAGCCAAUACGUUUUCAAAUAUUGGAAUUUCUUUACAACUUUGUGACUUGAAUCCAAACAUGUUUGAUGAUUUGUGUUUCUAGAUAAAAAAAAAAAAAGAAAUCAACCAAUAUUGUGCUAACACAAAAAUUUACUCAACCAAUAAGAAAAGUUAAAAUUUCAGUUAUGCAUUACUAAUAUUGACUCUUAAGAAAGAUAGUAGAAGAGUCUUCAAAUGUUUUUUUAUGUUUUGUAAUUUGUAUAUACUUAGUAUUCAGUAAUAAUAUAUUUGGAUAUAUAAUAUCAAAAUAUAAAUAUUAUAUAUAUCAUUAUAUAUAUAUGUAAUUUAAGGGUCGGACCUAUAUUGGAUUUAAGCCUAACGAAAUCCAAAUUCGACUCAUAUUUAAUUCGAGUCUAAUUUUUAGAUUCAAACUCAGACUAAUUCACUAAAAGGGCAGACUCAUCAGGCUUUUUCUUGGACCGAACGAGUCAAGUUAGGGCUAAUCCGACCCUAUUAACAGUCCUAACCGAGUGCAAGUUGAGCACGAGUAGCUCGAUAAUUAUUCAAGUCAAGUUCAAGUAUUGAUUUUUCAAACUCGAUAGCUUGUCGAGCCUUAUCAAACACAAAGUAAUUAAUUAAAAAUUAUAUAUUUAGUUAUUACAAUUUUACUCUUUUAGGUUUGAGAGUUCUAUAAAUUACAAUAAUUACUCUUUCAGUUUAGUCAAGUACUCGAACUCGAUGAUACUCGCAAGAAAAUCGACCAUAAUCGAGUCGAUCUCAAGUUUUCGAACCAUUCUUCAAGUUCGAGUUCGACAUCUAUUUCUGCUGCUCACUCGAGCAGUACCUCUUUACUGUCGAGUUGAUAUUCGCGCUCGACUCAACUCAAUUAUAUCCCUAUCUGAGACACAUAACAGACUCUCGUAAUAUUCUUGCAUAUGGUAUAUAUUUGUUUUCUUUAUGUUCAAUACACAUGCACACACACACACAAAUACAAACAUUUAAAUAUCACCUUUAAAUUGUUUUAUUAUUUUCUCUCUCUCACACACACGUACACACAUUUUUCUUUUUCUCCAAAUAAACAACUAAGAAUCCAAGUAGUUAUCAAUAUUUAUGCGUGCACGCAUAAAUAUUUUCUUUUUCUCUCACAACACACGUGCACACAAUAUUUAUGCAUUAUUUUAUUUUAGUAUUAUAAUCCAAGUAGUUAUCAAAUAGAUAUAACUUAAAUAAUUUAGCAACUUAAUAGUUUCAACACCUAAUUUUUAAAAUUUAAAUUUCAGAUUUCAAUUUUAUUAAAUGUUCUAAGUUUAUACGCAUUUCAUCUAUUCUUUCAGGCGCGAGGAAUUGGUCUCAACUGGCAAGCAUAUGAUUCUGCUCCUCAAGUCUGAUCUUAUAAAAGAAUUGGAAAUGUCUACAUAAUGGAAGAUAGUAGUAUUCUUUUAUCGUAUUGGAGUGGCCUUUUUAUCCCUUUUCUUUAGGCCUCAGGAAUCAGUUUCCGAACCAAAAGCCCAAAUCCAAGCCUCAAUAAAAAACAACUGAUUGUUAGUAGCCCAUUAGACAUCGCCUCUCCUUCUCACUCCUCCAUCGCAUCAGCAUCCUUGUUUUUUGGCCGAUAAAAUGAGAUAAUAAACCCCAAAAAGGCACAAACUUUGAAGUAAAACCCCAAGGAAGGGAGAGGGGCCAUGGCUGCCACAGCAACCUUAGCUUCAAUCUUGACUAACACUUCACUUUCGUCACUUGUAUGGAGCUCAACUUACAGAAGAACUCUUCUAAGUCCUGUAAGACUGGUUUGCAGAUUAGCCUCUAACCAUUUUUGGACAGAAAAUUACCAGAAAAACUCAAACUUUAUCACCUGGGAUUCACGAGCCAGAAGCCGAUAUAGAAGCUUUAGAUGUCAAUCCACUGCUUCUUCGAAUGUUAACUCAACUCCUGACUCUGUUUCCUCAAAUGGGUACUUCUUAUCUUUUCCCACAUAUUAUAACCAGUAUAGGUGUUAACCUUUUUUUGUUUGGUGUUAUCAGUUUGUUAGACCCUUCUUAAAAAAAAAAAAAACUUAUCUGGCUUUUUGAAAUUUGGGUUUUCUGAGAAUAUAUUAAUAAUAGCUUAAACGUUUGAAAAUUGGUGGGUUCCUGAUGAUUGUGACUCAUUUAUCUUCCACAUGGGGUCUGAAAGUUGCUGUUGCUUGACCACUGCCUUAAAGCUUACCAAUGUCUAUGCAUCAAAGACCUAAAAAAGAUUUCUUUUAAAAAAAAAUUACUAUAUGAUUUGGUGGGCUGGAAACUGGAAAUGAAGCAACAUUGCAAUAGGGAUAUGGGGAUAGUAAAGAUUGAUGUAUUGGUAUUGCUGUAGGUUAAGCAGCAUUCCCAUAGAAUAGUAAAAGUUGAUGUAGGUUCCUAUCUACUCUUCCUACGACAUAUUUGAGGUUAUCCAUUUCACAGCUUUGUUUGAUUCCAAACAUUUGAUGUCUCGUCAUAGUUGAUUUUGAGCAAUUCUGUGAGUCAAGAAUAAAGCUUUUAUUAUCUAUCUACUCUUCCUAGCAACAUGUUUGAGUUUAUCUAUUUCAUAGCAUUGUUUGAUUCCAGAUUCCAGACAUUGAUGUCUCAUCAUAGUUGUUUUUGAGCAAUUCUGUUGUAUAGCUUGAACUGAAAAUGGCCUAUAUUGCUAUAUUAAUGUAGUUAUUUGGAGUGAAUAACACAUUGCAUCUCAUAGACAUGAUUAAAAUAUCUCUUGUACCUGAAUAUAGUCCAGUCGUGUCAUGGCUGUCGAUUUUGAAGAUGAAUACAAGCUAUUGAUGGUUUGACAGGGAUCAUGUUGUCCUUGGAUAACUUUGACUUCGAUAGACAUCAGGGCUGGUUAUUUUUCUUUGAAAAAAAAUUGUAUAGGAUUGAUCUAUAUGUGCAUGUAAAAGAUAUUCUGAAUAACUACUCUGUCUGUUGUUGUGUACUUAAUAAGCAUGAAAAUGUAAUGAAAAGCAGGUAGGAAAUAGAUUCAGCAAUGAUGUUAUCAAACUUACUUUAUCUCUUAAAUGAGAAACAUCCUCUAUUUAAUCCAUGAAGCACCAUAUUGGUGCUGACAAGCACGUGGACUUUUUAGCAUAUUUCAAGAAUUUUAGCAUCUUUUGUAGUUUAGAUAAUAUGUUUGAUAAAAUUGGGAAAAGCCAUUCCAGUUUCGGUGUAUUUCUACUUUCAUUUUAAUCCACAUAACUUGUUUUUCAACAUAAUUUGCCUCAGCUUCCGAAGAUAUGGCCGCUUGCUUCCUUGUCCGUCAGAGAAUGGCCCACCAAGAGUGGAACACUUAGUUGUUAAGGAAGGAGGGCCUGUGCUUGAUUAUAUUAGUAACUCUUUAGAUCUCCCUCCACUGUGAGUAUCUCUUCUUUGUGCCAUUGUCUUUAAGAGGCUGAAUAGGAUAUUGAGGUGCUAGAACAUGAAUAACAAAGAUGUGUUGAAUUAUGUAUAUUUCAUCUUGAAAGGUUUGUUGCAGAUCUUAUUCAUUUUGGAGCUGUGUAUUAUGCUCUGGUAUGUCCAAAGCCUCCCCCUAGUGCCACUCCUGAGCAAAUUAAAACAUAUAAAGAAGUUACAGCUCCAUCAGUUCUCAAAAACCGAGCCUCCAUUAAAGGGAAAACUGUUCGUGAAGCACAGAAAACUUAUCGGAUAACUCGUGCUGAUGAGUUUGUUGAGGCUGGAACCUAUUUACGUGUGCAUGUACACCCAAAACGUUUUCCGAGGUAAUCAUUUAAGUACCCACGACCAGUUUAUUAGAUCUAUGAUUACCCUUCCAAUAAUGUUGUUUUUUCAAUCAUUAUCAGGUGCUAUGAAAUAGAUUGGAGAUCAAGAAUUGUUGCCAUAACGGAAUCCUACGUUAUUCUGGACAAACCAGCUGGUACAUCAGUAUGUAUGAUGUUGUUCAGCAUUGGAAUAUUCUGCAACUUUUUUUAACCUAUGUGCUCCUUUUCUGCUUAAGUUAUCACCACGUUCUCCUAGAUAAUUGAUACAAGUCUGAAUAAAAAAUGUUGUAGUCAAUUGAAUUCUCUACUAAUUUUUAUUCUGGAAGCAAAAUGUGAUAAAACUUCUAGGAUCCCCCUUCAACAACAAAUCAGAGGAAGAUAACCUUCUCCAUGGUUUAGAAGUAUUUCUCUUUGAUUUCAAGUUAGAGGAUUUUAUAGCACUAGUUCAUCAAUUAGUUGACCACUGUAUUUUUCUAAAUGAACUAAUUGGUAAUAUGGAGUGUUUAGGUACAUAUGAGUUAUGAAUGUCGAGACAUAGACUUUUGUUGUAGAACAUGAGCACAAACUAGUCAACAACAGGGGUCCUCUAUUCUGUUGAUAUGGAUUCGUGAUGGUGUGGACACUUUAUGCACUUUCAUGACAAGAUCGUAUAUUCUAGAAUUAGUAUUUUCAUUUGACAUUUUCUUGCCGCGUUUUAUGAGGAUUUCUAAGGGUUACUAUACAUUUCUCUGUUGAUUAGGUUGGAGGAACUACUGACAAUAUUGAAGAAAGCUGUGCAACAUUUGCUACUCGUGCAUUAGGAUUAACAAGUCCAUUGAUGACUACCCAUCAGAUUGAUAAUUGCACUGAAGGCUGGUAAAAUAUCAAUAUGGGCUUCCAUAUCUAUUACUCUUCUUUGGAUGAAACCUGAUUGUGUCAUAUUUAUUUGCAGUGUUGUUUUAGCUAGAACCAAGGACUAUUGCUCAGUUUUUCAUGGGAAAAUCAGGGUGAGCAGUAACUCUAGAAAACUAAAGUGAAUUUGCAGACAAUUUAAAACCGAAAAGCUAGAAAUUUUUGCUGAAUGAAACACAAUAUGCUUUCUGCUGUCCUUGUUAAGAAUUUAGUAUCAACUGGUCUUAUUGUUUUGUUGGUUUGGUCUGCUCUCCUUCUGAAAGCGUAUGUUAUUUCAUCAGGAGAAAAAAGUUAAAAAGCUUUACCUUGCACUUGCUGCUGCUCCUGUGCCGGUUGGAGUCAUUACCCAUUACAUGCGACCAAUUAAUAUUGCACCAAGACUUGUUUCUGAAGGUAGUCCCUUGAAGAUAGUACUUGAUCCUAUUAGUUGGAAUUCGUUUUUAGUUGCUUUUAACCCAUGCCACAACACUGCCUUUUUCUUGUGGCUGACAUGACCCCUUGCUUCCUUUCUUUUUAAGGGAGAAGAAUAAUUGCACUUGAAGUUCUAUCCUUACCCCUUAUUUUAGAGAACCUUCUGAAUAUCUGAACACACCUUCAAUUUUAUGAUUGCUGCCUAUAAAAAGUAUACAUUUUGAGUGUUGAUCUUGGACAUGCUCUGAAGCCAGCCCUUCUUUUGCAUGCAGAAUCUGUUGAUGGAUGGCACUUGUGCCAGCUUGAGGUCCUAGAAUGUAAGAAGGUUGCCUGGCCCACAAGCAUGACGGAAAGGAGAUAUAGCAUUGAGGAUUGUGGGUGGCCUCCUCAAGAUUUCGCAUAUGAGUGUAAAGUCAACCUUCUGACUGGUCGAACUCAUCAGGUACCUAAAUGAAUCUUCUCCUUUUCUAUUUCUUUCUUUUUUCCUCUUCUUUUCUACAUUAGAGGAGCGUGGAAGUUAAGUACCUUUUUAUUCCCAAACUCUGUAAUUCAUGUGAUUCUCUUGCUUUUGCUGUUGGCUUAUUUUACUAGCUUCUGGAUGGGACUUCCUAGUAAUUCACAUUGAAAAAUAUUUAAAUGCAAUUAGAUUAUGAAGUAGUAGGUGUGAAUGUUGCAUUGGGAAGUAAAGCCAAUUCCUUAAAAGUUGAGAAAGAGACACGAAAUGGAGCCGUUUAGUUUCAUUAAAAUUGUUUUGCUCAUUUGAACCCUCAUGGAACUCACCUAAACCAGGCACAUGCAAAAGAAGAAAGAGACUUUUACAUUGAGUCAAAGUGUUACUGCAUAUAAUAGUUGACUUUGUGAUAGGCGUUUUGACCUCUGUACUAUUAAAUUCCCUAUGGUCUUUAUGAAAGUUGCCAGACAAAGGAGAUGGGAAAGGUGAAAAAAAAAACAGCAGAACAGUAAAAAACAGCAGAACAGUAAUAAAUAAUUCACAAUUGAUUUUUCUUUCCAUUUGAUUAACCUGACCACUAUUGUCUUACUGACAAGUUAUACUCACUAUAUUCAGAUUCGAGCACAGUUGGCUGCCUGUGGUGCUCCAAUAGUUGGUGAUUCAAUGUAUUUGCCAGCUGCUGUUGCUGAGAUCGUCAAUCCUAGGCUUAAUCCAUUUAGGAAGAAUAGUAAAAAAUAUGCAAAUGAGACUGAUAAAGCACAGGCUAUUGAAGAGUGGAUAGCUCAGCAUGGGAAAGAACCAGCCGUGGCUAUUGGUCUUCAGGCAUGUCAGAUUUUGUGGGACAAUGGAGAGCACUUUUAUGAGGCUGGAACUCCUUGGUGGAGGUAGAUGAUGCUUGGCUAUGCUUCUUAGAACCAGAAUAACUGAUGACUGAAUUAUGUUGUGAGGUGGGAGAAUUUCCCUUGUCAAUUUUGACGAUAUGCCAAUUUCAGCAAAUAGCACUCAUGCAGCUUCUCCACCUGUUUGAAAAAUUUUCCACGUAUUUAGAAAUCUAUGCUUUUGGGAAGCCAUUGGUCAAAAUCGAAAUAGGAAAGGACAUGAUAUCCUGAUAUCGUUGUAUAGAUUAGAUUGAUAAUGGGGUAGGGUAGGAAUAGAAUACAAGACUUUGGAGGGCCAUUGUGCUUAUAUUUGAGUUAAGGUUCCAGGUUGAUUUCAUGGUUUCCUUGCAUCAAAAAAUUCUUUCUAGUGUUCUUUUUAGUAUUCUUUCUUGUGUGUUUAUUUUUGAGUUAAGGUUCCAGGUUGGUUUCUUGUUUGUUCAAUUACUGCAAUCUGUGCCUUGAAAUCUAUCGUUGUUUUGGUUGCAUAUUCAAGCUUCAGUGAGGUUUCACAGUCAGAUUGUCGUCCUCAUGAAAUAUGCUGGAACUUUCUGUGCUUGUCUUUCUGUAAAUAUACUCUAAUUUGACUUAUUGGGAGUGUAGCUGGCGACAGAAAUCAGUCUUGGUCCAUGUGAAAAUACAGGCUUACAAACAACUAUAAGAUGCCUAUGUCUACUUGUCAGAUUAACCACAGUUACAUGAUCCAUGACAGAUCAAAGUUUGCAGAUAAAAGGUGAAAUCUGAGUGAGCUGUUAGGUAAAUAACAACCGACUCUGCUGCAGUGUGUUCUUUUAACAUAUCUUAUCCUGCUCAACAGCUAUGAAACAAGAAAGAACGGCAGGUGAUAUCGUAGGUAUUUCUUUAAAUAUUGCGCAAGUUGAGGAGUUGUUUUGUGUUUUGCAAUGAACUCCUUGUACCAAGUUGCUGAUGCUUUAGGAGUGUGUUUCAACUUUCAAUGUGGUGUGGUCAACAUGACGAGGUCCGAAUCUUUUGGUGAAUCCAUGUAGCCACUCAUAGGCAUCGAGCAAGGUCCAAACAAAGUAACCCCUCACAUCAGCUCCUUUCCUGAUUAUAUCCAUCAAAACUUGAGGAUAAGAUGAAGCUGUGGAUUUCUAAACCAUAUGGUUCAUUUUCGGAAGGAAUCAUCAGUAUUAAAUGGUAAGUUAAACAUCUGGGAUAGUCAACAUUCACAUGCAUCUAUUUACCUCAUGGCUCUUGACAGAUAAUCCAAAUAGUCCCUCAAGUACUCGACUCUCUUGACAUCAUUUAAGGGAUUCAUCAAAAGUGGAGUUAGGGUUGGUAACCUCACGGUAACCUGGAACUCGAUCAAAUCCAAGUCAGCAAAUCGAUAUCUUCCACCGCCCUCCCCAACACAAUAAGCUAAAAAAAGAAAGGGAAGAAAUGGGGAAAGGAAUGACAGGAAAGAUACUAAAUGGAAAAGCAGAAAACCUCAUCUCUAGAUGAUCACUCACCAUUUUCUGUAAUAAUUAUUGGGAUAUUAUUGUAUCUUUCCGAGAUAUGGGUAACAGUUUUUCCAUUCCUGGUGGGUGAGAUUGUAAUGGCUCAUCACCUGUCUGUUAAACUUCAGCAUUUAUGGAUGAUUCACAUAUGGAAAAUGUAAAUUCAAAGCGGGUAAACUGUCUUGCAAGUUCUCCAAUGGGGAUGCCAUCUUUAAAGUUGGUUUGUCUAAUGAAACCUUCUGUCCUGGUACUUCCAGGUGAGGGUUCGCAGGAGGAAUACAGCAAUCUCCAACAUAAAAGCUUGUGUAGUGGUUGAUGCCAAUAAAAUCCACCCCGAGUUUCAAAUUGUCCGAGUCAUUGCUGGAAAAUUUUGGUAGAGUAGAUCCCGGAAGAUCAUUCAUCUCUUUAGGAUAUCUCCCAAAUGCAAUUGGGUCCAAGAACCUGAUCAAGUUGAUUAUCGAAUCAAAUAUAUAAUUCCUGUACAGGUCACUAAGUUUGUGUACAAGUAUGAUGUAGAAGAUAUAUAGUUACCAGUUUGAUAAGAAGGAUUGAGCUCAUUCUGCAGCCAACUUGUCUGCUGUAGAGUUGCUUAGGGCCUCAAACCAACCAGUCAGCACAAUGAUGCCUAUGGUACCUCCUUGAUUUUUCUGAACAGAGUUUCCGCUGAAUUAAACUUUGAUGUGGUAAAUGGUAUCCUAUUUAUACCUGGUACUUGGCUUUGUAUAUCUUAACAGGGGCUGCAUGAGCAAGAAUGAUAUUGUGCGCUGCAAUGAAGGGCUCCUUUUCUGAAUCUCCAUUAGAGCAGUUUCCCAAAAGGCUUUGAACAACGACCAGGAGGAAAGAUUCCAGAACGAUAUGCAGCAAUGACAAAUACAUUUGUUUCACUGAAUGUUACCCAGUACUUUACCCUGUCCCAAAGUUGUUGAAACAGAUAUCUGCGAAGUAUUUGAAGUCUUCCCUGGGAGGAAAAAAAAAAGAAGCUUAAUAAACGUUCAAUGGCAAGCUGGGAUUACAGACAUAAUGUACGAAUGCUUGCACUAAAUUGGGGCUUAGCCAAGCUCCAUAUCUUUCCUCUAGUUCACAAGGAAUAUCGAAGUGAAUCAGAACGAUAAACGGUUGUAUCCCUGUAAAUCAAGAUGAGCAAAAUUUUACAAGCAUUCUAAUGAAUGGCCUCAGAUGAGCAUUGAAAUUUCUUGUAUUUUCAUUUCACAGCUCCUCAGGUUAGAUCGUGGAGGCAAACCUCUGAGGAGGAGAGCGCUGAUAUGCAAAAUUUACAAUGGUCAAUCCCUGCAAAAUUUAUGCUUCCAUAUCUCCCUUCUGCAGGCAUACAAGUUUGAAUCAGGGAAAUGAGUUUAACUAAAUACUAGUAACAGGUCAUUGCCAAAGGAUUUUUUUUCUUUAUUCUUUAAUGAUAGUUAAAUGGUAUUAAACAAUCAGCAACACACUCCCCUGAAGGAGUUCAAAAGGCAAUUCAGCUGUAUUUUGUCAAGGCAAACCGUGGGGUUCACCAGAAUACCGGUGAUAUUCAUCAACAACAACAUCUCCAUUGUCUCCAUCAAUUACUGAUCUCGCAAAACUAUAAUAUAUAUAGCUGUUAGCUGUUUUCGAAUUAAUUUUCGAACCAAUGAAAGAAUUUCACAUGAAUACUACAAUUUUGAUUUCCAAAUUAUUGGCCUUUAAACUCAGACUGAACCGAUCCGUGAUCCUCCUGACCUGAGUGUGUGUGUGUGUGUUUUUUUUUUUCAAAUUCCCCACCUUUUCCCUCCAAUCAGAACAGUUCCCACGAAAAUGCUUCGAUGACUAAAAUGCCCUUAACAAUUAUCAGUAACAGCUAAAGGAUUUAGUUUGGCUUUCUGAACCUCUCUUCGACUCUUCUGCCACUCUAUCCCCAAGGCCAAAGCUGAGGUUGAGGUCCAUCACCACCGAACUCAGGCAUCCCAUCUUCCAGGAGCCCUUAAUCAUUAUCCUUACUGUCCUUUGGUCUUCCUCUUCCCAGAAUUUUGCUUCAUGUUGAAGAAUAGUUUCCUGGUAACACUUAAUUCUGCGUUCAAUAUUUGCACCAUUUUCAGAAUUUUGUUUUUCGAUGAUGAAUAGGGCCAGGUGGCGUUUUCUUUUCUUUACCUAUUUUUAGUAUUGGAAAGAACAAGUAGAUUGUAAAGUUGUAAACUUGAUUUGGGAUUUUGAAGUUGGACAAAAUGGACAGGUUUUAAGCUCUCUAACUGAAUAACUGGGUACCUUAGGGAAUGAAAUGAAAUUUUUUCGCAGAUAUAUUCAAGAGAAAAAUUAAAGUUGUCUUCUUUCGUUUACAAUCUUUUAAUGGGCUUUUAUUAUUUUGUUUGUUUGUUGCAGUUGUGUAGUGGUGUGUGUUAUCUCCAUGUUCCAGUACAACAACCCAUUUUUAUAUGUAAGAAAAGAAACAGGUCCAUCAAAUCUGCUGCUGCUGCUGCAGUUGCUUACAAUGCAAUUAGUUCUAGUGCUGCUGCUGCAGUUGCUUACAAUGCAACUAGUUCUAGUGCUGCUGCUGCUGCUUCAACCUUAGAGAUAUCAUCUGCUUCAUCUCCUUCAUCGUUCCCACUCUUUCAAACCCCUUCAUCACUCCAACCUACUCCUGCCUCCGAGGUAGGUUCAAUUUGCACCCUUUUUUUAUUGAGUUUCAUAUUACUUCCUAUUAAUUGUAUAUUUUAUUUUGUUGAUUCACCCUUUGAUAAGUCAUUUGUGUCCUGUGAUGAAUAGGGUUUUCAUUGGUUGCUCACCUUUUUAUUCUCAUCAUGUAUCUUGGGAGUAAGAAAAGCUAAUCCUUAGUAGUAACAUUAUAUUGGCAGAAGCUGUAAUUCUAUAACUACUGUCACCAAACGCUUGAUUCUGCUGUUCCUUCUUUCUUGAAAUCAAUAAACAUGAAGAAUUUUCUAUUCUACUGGGAUUUCAAAUUGAUUAUGACGUAGCUUUGGAAAAGGAAGUGACUUUUUUUUGUAAAUUGAGAAGUGUAGAGAAUGUCGUGCUUAUAUUGUGCUCUUGGUUGAACUUUGUCAUAUGGAAAGGGAAAGAGGAUUGAUGAAUGAAAGAAAUUAUCUGUUUUUAAUUUUUUUUAGUAGGGAAGGGGUAGGAUUUAAGGAGCAGGGAGGGGGAAGGUGGGAUUUGCACCCAGGACCUCUAAUUCCUUGGACCACAACCUUAGUCUUUAGACCAAGGUCUCCUUGGCAAUUUAUUUGUUCAUGCAUGUAUGAUUACUUUUUAGUGUGGAAUAAGGUCAAGAAAGACAUGUCAGCAAUUAUUGGAACUUGGGUGGAGAAAUUUUCUGCAAUGUGGUUGUUCCAUUUUCUGCCUUCUCCAUUCUUCGAUCUGUGAAUCUUCAUAUUAUUACCUUGCCAUAUACUUGUCUGGAAAUUUUUGGUAUAAUUAUUGUCUCUUCUAUUUUUUAACUACAUCCAUUUGUUUGAUUUUAUUCUCUAUUUUGACUUGAAAAGUUCAUUAAUUUUCCAUUAACAGUUAGAACCGGCAGACCCAGAUUUCUAUAAGAUAGGAUAUGUUAGGAGUGUUAGAGCAUAUGGCAUUGAAUUCAGGGAAGGCCCUGAUGGGUUUGGAGUAUAUGCUUCCAAAGAUGUUGAGCCUCUUCGUCGAGCUAGGGUUAGUUUUGCUUCUAGUAGUUGUUAUACAAUGUACUUAGCUAUAACUUAAGUUGUCAUUGACUAUGACAAACUUCAAUACCUUUUGAUUUGUUGUUUGUGAAUGCGAAACAAAAUGAUAUUCUUUCCAUCCAAUUAUUCAUGUGAUUCUGCAGGUCAUCAUGGAAAUUCCCUUAGAAUUGAUGUUAACUAUAAGCCAAAAGACACCCUGGAUGUUCUUUCCGGAUAUCAUACCUGUCGGCCAUCCUAUAUUUGACAUCAUCAAUUCAACCAAUCCAGAGGUAAAUUUUUAAGUAUGUUGCUCAUUCCAUGUUUAAUCUUUCUAUUCACAGCUGACAGUUUCAUCAUUGCUCAUUAUAUUUUCUUUUGUAGAUUCAAGUAUUUAGGUAAUAUUCAGUUACGUACUAUUAAAUUACUUAGCCAUGCUCACUAGAAUCAUUUUCAUCUGUAGGUUUUCUUUGUAUUCUAGAAUAGGUCAUGUAUUUUCUUAAAGUCCUAAAUAUAAUAUUGGUAUUUUGACAGAUAGACUGGGACCUGAGGUUGGCAUGUCUUCUUUUAUAUGCAUUUGAUUGCAAAGACAACUUCUGGACACUGUAUGGUGACUUCUUGCCAAGUGCUGAUGAAUGCACUAGCUUGCUUCUAGCGACUGAGGUUUGUGAAUGAGGAUCCUAGUAAAAAGUAAAUGCCUUAUUGCUAACUCAAACGCAUUUGGCUUUCUAGAAGUACUAUUUUGUCUCUUUAUGUGGUCUUUGUCAAGGGCACAUGCAAAUAGUGGAUAUUAGAUGUACAAGAUAGUUUACAAUUUGUUUACUGUGUGUGUUUUAUAGGUGGACUCUGUAACCUAAUUCAGAAUUAUUGUGAUGUUUUCACUACAGACAUAACUGUGUCUAUAUAUAUAUAUAUAUUUUGCUUUCAAGUAUCUCUUAACUUUUGCAUCCUGUAGGUUGAAAGCAUUGGUUCAUGUGAAAGCUAUAUUUUGUGGACUUAAUAUGUCAGAUAAUGGAGCAGAAAGUCAUUUUGAAUCCUUUAUGCUACUGACAUUUAUGUCAUGCUUUGGAGCUCAUAAUUCAUCUUAACAUAUUGUUGUAUGAUUUUUCAUUUAUGGUUAGGAGCUGUAUGUUUCUGCUGAGAUUUACUCUCUACCUGUUCAAUGCUAAAUAUUCCCUGACUUUUGAGUUCUGGAAUUGUCUACUAGUAUUAUUUGCUUUAUGUGGUUCUAAUACUGCCUGUCACUCCCUCCCGUGAGUCCAUAACUAUUCUGUUGCUUCUCAUUUUGCUGUCUGACAUAUAGUUCUCUUUUUGUUUUCUUUUUAUUUUCAGGAGGACCUUUUGGAGUUGCAGGAUCACAAUCUUGCUUCCACUAUGAGAGAGCAUCGACAACGGGCAUUAGAAUUCUGGGAAAAGAAUUGGGUAUUCUGCAGUCUUAUCUGCCCUGUUUAUCAUCAGAUUUUUAGUAUAGUUAGUUGUUAUUUUAACUUUUAUCUGUGUCUAAUAUGUUGACCUGUUCUUAAUUCAUUCAGCAUUCUGCUGUUCCUCUUAAAAUAAAGCGUCUUGCUCGUGACCCUGAGAGAUUCAUUUGGGCAGUGAGCAUUGCACAGUCUCGAUGCAUUAAUAUGCAAACAAGAAUAGGUGCUCUGGUUCAAGAUUUAAACAUGUUAGUUCCUUAUGCUGGUGAGUUCUUCAGCUUAUCUUUUUUUAUUUUCUCAUACCACAAUGUGUCAUUAGUUGAUAUGCUAGAAUCAUGUGGUCCUUCAGGUUUUUAUUUAGAUAUGCAGCUCCAGUUCUGAAGCUUUGUAUGACUUUUGGAAAUUUAUCUUGAAUUGCUGGAGUAGAGCCAAAAAAAAUGUGGAAUAAGAUAAUUUUCUUAAUCUCUUCCUACAAGAAAAAUGAAAAUCUGUGGGUACAGGGUGCUUCAACUGCAAUUCUGUUGUAAUAGAGUAGGAAAAUGAACAGAUUAGUAGGACAAACAUCAAAAAAUGAACAUUCUUUAUAGCCUAAAACUUAAAAAAAUGUAAGGAGGUGAUUGUUUGAUUAAUUUCCUCUGGCAGUUUUGAAGGACAAGGAGAUGAUUAAGGACCUCUUCGUGACAUGAAAUUUUUCACUCGGUUAAGCAAGACUGCUAAUAUGUCUUUGUUAAUUAGAGUCUCUUGAGCAUUGUUAUGCCACUAAAUCUUGCACUUUUUCACUUGCAUUAUGUCAUUUGUAUGCCAGAGAAGAUCAGAAUUAGAGGCUAAUGUUUAAAGAGUGGAAAUGUUGAGAAAUCAUAAACUAAUGGAAUUGUUGUGAAUAUGUUGAGAAAUUAUAGAUUAAAAAAUCUUAAUAUAUGAGUGUAGUGAUUAAUUACUGAGGGUUCUUAUCCAGAUAUGCUAAACCAUUCAUUCCAGCCAAAUUGCUUUUUCCACUGGCGUUUCAAAGAUCGCAUGCUUGAGGUGAUGAUUAAUGCUGGACAAAGGAUUAGAAGGGGAGAUGAGGUAAAUGCUUGCCAAUUUCCGUGCUAAAUGGUUGAUCUGGAUUGAGUGAUAUAUGUUAGUAGAAGCAGCAUGGUGAUUGUAGUUCUUUGUCACAUUGUAGAAGGCAUGAAUCUUUUUUAUGAUUUAAAAUUUGUACUAGUUGUUGGCAUCCUAAUUGAAUUCUGGUUCAUGCAUUAUUAGGCAAUUGAUGUCCAAGUCACAGUUUACCUCUUAAGUUACUAAAAGAUUGUUUAGGGAUGGUAAUAGAUGUAAAAUCUACUUGCAGCCUCCAAGUCCUGGCAUUUAAAACUUGGAAAACAAAUUUUCUUUCUUGUGCUGGCUUCAAUCUGUCUUUGGUGUUAUUGGCUCAACUCACACCAGGAUGAGAAAAGAAAAUGUUCCUUGAUUUUCAUGCUUAAAAUUUUCCAACAUUUCCCAAUAAAAAAGAAAGAAAAAAAAUCGAAGAAGACUGUCAAAUUUCUCUAAUUAAUUAUCAGAAACUAUAAUAUGUGAUAUAGCAGACCGAAUACCAAUAAGCAAAAACUGAAUAUCCCUUACAUUGUGGUCUAUUAUACUAGCUGUUGCAGACUUGAAGUCUCUUUACUAAUAAUACUUGGUUGUUGUUUGCUCAUACCAAUUUCUCUACUUCUUUUGCCUGCAUUAGAGUCUACGCCUAUUUAUAAAGUGCAUACUGCAGAUAUGAUAGGCUGUUACUUUCCUUAAACCUUUGCAGAUGACUGUCAAUUACAUGAGUGGAUGGAAGAAUAACUUGUUUAUGCAAAGAUAUGGCUUUUCAUCGCCUGUGGUAAUGGUUCUUUUCCUUGCUCUGCUUAAAAAAUUGCAAUAGCUGUUACACUAUUGUAGAUAAUGUCAUUGUACUUGCUUUCCAAUAAAGCAGAUCUUUUCCAUUGCCAUGGUUGAAAACUUUAUCAUGGGCAGAACCAAGAAUAUAGUAAUCUCUGUAUUGGUCCCACAGCGAUAAUUUUACUAUUUGCCUCCAUUUUGUUUUAUUUUUUUUUUUAGAAAAAAGGGAGGUAAUGGCUUGUAACAUUCUUGUUUCCUGAUUGUUUGCAAUAGGCUUAGAAUGUUUGAGAAUAUUAUUUGAUUUCAACUUAUGAAGCAAAAGCGAAGUCAUUAAAUUUAACUUUUAACUUAAACAUGUAGUACGCUAGUUGCCAAAUUAGAAAUUACAGUUGUGUGCUUGGGUAGGAUAGAAAACUUUGGCAUAAGAGUCAAAUAGCUUUGUUCCAAUAGACACUAUAGAUUUCAGAAUAUGACACAACCUUUAAGAUGUCAUGAUCCGUGUGCCUGUAAUGAAGUCUCAACACUUGCACAAGUGUAAACUCAAAUUAAGAGGUUUAAAGAUACAAAGAGGUAGUGACUAAAUUUUCUUUGAUCCACCAGUUCUGUAAUCUGUCUUCUGUGAGGAUAAAGAAGGACAAGAGGAAAUAGAAACAAAAAAUAAAAGAAAAUUUUGAAUAACUCAAGGAUUGGGAGUUAGUACUAAUUCUAAUUCAUGAUCUUAUCUAGUGACUUCAUUCCUUAAUUUCAUCUUCUUUUCUAAUGCUUUUAUGUGUAGACAAUGCUGCUUCUCUCUCUUUUUCCUUCUUUCUUUUGUCUUUUUUGUUUAUUUUUAUUUUUAAGCAUUUUUUGUGAGAACAUCAUAUAUGAUAUAUCCUAAGGGCAUGGAUAAUGGGGUGUAUAAUGGUAGUGAUGCGUGUCAAACCUUGGCAUAUUGCCUGAGGAAAGAUGGCUUUAAGCAGUUGGGCUAAACUCUGAACUCAGGAAAUGCAGAUCUUGGUAUCUUAAAUCCUUAUUAGCUCCGCAGUUCUUCGUAAUAGCUUUCUGGUACAGCUAAAUUGCCUAUAUUUCCACCGUGGAUUUGAUACCCUUCUUUUUGGCUUUGAGUUUUUACUUUUUCUAUUUUUAAAAUUUUUUUUGGUAUUAAUACCUUUCAUAUAUUAUUAAAUAUGCAGAAUCCUUGGGAUGUUAUUCAAUUCUCUGGUGGUGCUCGGAUUCAUUUGGAUUCUUUCUUGUCAGUUUUUAACAUAUCUGGCCUUCCGGAGGAAUAUUACCACAACAGUAUGGCUGAUGGGAUACUUUCAUUUGAGCUUUUAUCUUGAAUUUUUAGGAUUAAUUUAUCGAAUCAACAAAAUUGCUAGCAGGUCGGUUGUCAAAUAAUGGAUACAAUUUUGUUGAUGGAGCUGUUUUAGCAGCAGCUAGGACAUUGCCAACAUGGUCAGAUGGAGAUGUCCCUCCAAUACCAAGUAUAGAGCGGAAGGCUGCAAAGGAGUUGCAAGAAGAAUGUCAGCUAAUGCUUGCCGAGUACCCCACAACUGCCAAGGAAGAUCAGCAGAUUCUAGGUAUCAUCAGUAUGAAAGAUCAAGUUCCAAUAACAGAAAUGCAUAUAACCAAAAAAAAAUUCUGCUGCCUUUAAACACUGGGGUGAUGAAAUAAUUGUUUUUCACCUGAGAACUAGAUUUGCAGAAAAAUUUGGUCUCUGUCUUGGAACUUUGAAGCUUCUAAGAUCCAAGACAGAAUCGUGCGAACGGAAAAAACUUGAUCAAAAUGUAGUAUUUUUGUCACAAAGUGGCUGAAAUUUGGCCUCAGAUGUUUCACGUUAGAAGUCUAAUGUCCUCGUUAUUAUUUUCUUGCAUUGUCUUUGACAGAUUCUAUGCCUGAAGCUAGGAGGACGCUGGAAGCAGCAAUAAAGUAUGUAACCACCAGUAUGCAUACAUUGCUUUCCUUACUGUUCAUCAGAACUAUGAGAUUUACAUGACAUUAUAUUCGUGUUUGCAGGUAUAGAUUGCACAGAAAAUUACUCAUAGAGAAGGUCAUCCAGGCAUUAGAUGUCUACCAAGAGCAAAUAUUGUUUUAACGCGGACAAAUUUAGGAGGUUUAGCCACUUUUUCUAAGUUGGAAGGAGCCGAAACAGACAAUAUUCAUCUGAGAAUGAGUGGGGUGAUCCCUUCCUCCCCUCCCUGGUCUCUGCAUCUUUUCUUCCACGGAUUGUUUCUUCAGGAGGAUGGGGGAGUAAGGACUAAGGAUUUGGAUCCUGAUACCAACAAUGUGACUGCCACUGGGCUGUCACUUGCGGUGCCUCUGCCUCGACAGCUCUCACUCUUUUGAAGCUUGACUAAUCCUGGGGAUUCUUGGAUCUCCUAAACUUCAACUAGAACAUCCUAGCUGUUGACUUUGCAAAGAAGGAAAAGAUCAGGUUGGAAAACAAAAAUGAAGAGUCGAAGUUGUAUAUUUGGAACCUUUUUGCCACCACACUGGGGGACAAAACUAGAUGAUAAUCUAUGACAUCCCAGAAUUAAGGGCAAAACUGCAGUAGGCCAUAUCAGUAAAGAAUCUGAAUCUCAAUAUGAACCAUACCCUAGAGCACUUGUCCCCCUCUGUGAAUCGCAGAAAAGGAUGACAAAUUAAAUAGAAAAACAAUUCUUCUUCCUCGGGCAUAAUUACGGGAAAUCUGUUUCAAUUUUUUGACCUGGCAGGUAAUCAAGUAGUGAACUGAAGGAAGAGUCAUGUAAUAACAAAGGUAAGAUAAUUCUUCUUUAUUCAACAAUGUAUGAAAGAAAGAUUAAUCUACAAUACACUGAUAUUGUAUACAUUUUCACUAUUAGAUGUACGACAUAUAAUUUGAAUUUGAAUCUAUAACUCAAAUUUUGCACAUGUAUCGUAUAACCAACCAUAAUAGUGUAUACAUCGUUAGUGUAUAUAAUAUUUAUUCAAAAAAAAAAUCAAAUGAGCAAGAUUUUAUAUAUACGUCAUAUAUUCAAUCGUGGUAGUAUAUACACCUUUAGUGUAUAUAAAAUUUACUCAAAAAAAAAAUCUAACUGAGUAAACCCAAAAACAACUUGUUUGCGUGGUCAUGUGAAGACCAUGGCAUGAGAUUUAAAAUGAGAGUAGCAUGAGAUUUUUUUUUUUUAAAAAAAAAAAGAAGUUUGAUUUCUCGUGUAGAUUACGAUGGGAACAUCGUACAGUCCCCAUUUCCAAAGCCAUCCAAAGUCCAGCCAGUUUUCUAGCUAUAGAGAAGGAAAUUUAACUGUACUCACUAGGAACACCAUUCAAUGUCCAGCUAAGAACAGACGAAUUGCAUUUUAUUAUGAUGCACUUUCGCCGAACAGGAUAAACAGGUCCAUUCAAAGUUUUCCAUGUACAUCAAUAGUAAUGCAUGUCGAGGUCCAUAUAGUAUUUUAAAUAAAAUAAAAUAAAAAAAACCUACCGUCUGUAAUGUGCUAAAGUACAAUUAAAGACUGCCUCCAAAAAACUAAAUACUCAUUUCUCUAAGCUGUGGUAAAGACAGUAGUGUGCAAAACAAAAAAAUGGCGCUAGUUGAUACGAUGCAGAUCAGAAUAAAAACGAGGCAAAACUGGUAUUCAGUAUCCAACUGCUUUCACAUAGCUUAUAAUGUGUCUAGAGAUUUCGGUAAACUUGAAUUUUUAAUAUUUGCAUUAUAAGACAUUUUUAGACAUUCUCAGCUGCAUCUCUUUGUGACUCUUCUGACCUCCCUGCAGCGGCCAGCCUCUCUGCUGCUAAUCUCUCUUCGAGUGCGCGAGCACCCCUUUCCCUGCAAUUGAACAUUUUUCAUUCAUCAUCUUAUUAAAGUGAGAGUUCAGAUUCCACAACCAAUUUUUACUUCGUACUUCCAUCAGUUCUUUCUUUAAUAAAUUUCUUCAAGAAAUGUAUUCUCUGUUAAAAGGCUUCUAUUAACUGAUAUAAAAGGAAAAAUCAUUCAAUCAGCUUUUAAUCUCAGGUUAUACCGAGCUGAAGAGUUUUAAUUCAUGUCAAAAUCUACCACGUGAGAUAACCUAGACAACUUAUCUGAUUGAUGAAAUCCUCAACAUAUGAACAAGUUCUGAGAGAAAAGGAACUCCUCAAGGCAUUAUCCCUGUUACAAAUGAUUAUAUGAAGCACCAAGAAGAGUUAAGCAUUCGUUAUCAAUUAUCAGCUCUCCUUAUUCAACUUGCAGAAACUCUCGAAUGUUUCUCUUCCGAGUCAUCUUUUUCUUCUACUAGUAGUCCAUUACCUAUCCCAUUCAUAACACCAAAAUUGAACCGCUCCACCAAGUACCAUCAAGCAUGAUGUUACUUCUGCUCUAAUUACAUCAGUCAGAUAAGUGUUUCAAAUCUACGUCCUCAAAAAGAACAAAUUGCAGAAAAGAUUGCCUUGUGGUAGUAGUACACCUUCAAAAAAAAUGAAUUACUAUACCUGAAAAAACAAACCUAUCCUUUGCACCCAUUUUAAAAGUUCCAUUCCAGAUCAGAAGGCUAUUGUUUGACUAAAGCUCAUUUAAUCUCAUCCCUUUUGAGUUAAUUAUUGCUUCCACUAAAUAAAUAACGGCACAGGUUACCUCCUCCGAGAUGCCUCGAUAGGAUCAGAACCAGGCAGUGGCUCACCCCCCAAGGUAUGACCCCUGGCCUCAUCAGAAGUUUCAGAUCUUCUUCCACAACAUAAUCGCCCAAAUAUUGUAGCAAUGGGAUCAAUUACAGGUCUGCAAGCCAUUCAUCAACGUAUAGUAUCAAGGAAAGUAAGGGAAUGAAGUGCAAAAACUGAGCUGAAUACGGAAAAUUGCAACUCGCAUUGCUUGCCUUAAAAAUUCAGGGAAGAAUGUAGAGAAUGCAAACUCAUCACUUGGAUCACCCCUGAGUUUUGUUUCAGGUUUACUUUGCCAAUAUCUGAGGUAAAUCCAACCUAUAUAUGCACCAAAUACUAAAGUUGGGAGGUAUGAUGCUGAAUCUGGUGUAAAAAAGCUUGCAGCAAUGGACACCAAUAACAUGAGAGAAGGCAACCACUGCAGAUAACCAUAACAGAUAUACAAGAGGAUGUCAUACAAUAUUCUGAACCUCUUCUUUGUAUAUGAAUUUUCCAAACAUGUUGAAAAUUAUCACUCAAGUACUCUCAAGUUACAUACUUUUGCUUUUAAUUUCAGCACAGGCAGCUCUUGGUCAGGUAUAAUUUGCUUAAUGCCGACAAGAAAUCCUGAUAGAAUCCCUUGAAAGCCAGAAAUUGGCAUAUAACUACAAAAAAGGCAAAUAAAAGAAAUCAGAUUGUUCCAUGUUAACAGUCAACAAGAUGGCAUAUGGAAAUCAGAAUAAUUUUGCGAGGCAUAAUAAAAUUAAAGUUUCAUACUUAUAUUUGAAAUUUUAGUAUUAUAAGAUAUAUAGCAUCUAACAUAUGUAAACUCCAACAAUGUUUCUGCAUAACAAGUAAAUCUUGAAACGCUUACAGGUAAUUUUCCUGCCUUGUUAUGUAGUACAAGCAAAUGGCCGUGAUGAAAACACAGACAGAAGUUAAGAAAUUAACCACAAAGAUAAACUUUAAGAAUUCUCGAGAACCCCAUAUUGGUUCAAGCAGUUUUCCAAGGAAAAGGAGACCAAGAGUGCUGAUGACCACCUGAAAAAUAAUUAUAUCAUUAACAUAGAUCUUUUACAAGGUAAAAGGAAACAAAGAAAUGACUUCUCUAAAAUAUUAAAAUAUCUUUCUAAGGGGGGUGAUGAUGAAGAUAUGGAGCACAAGGCGACAGAAGGGACAAAAUACGCACUCCAUGCACAGAUUGCUCAAUGUAACCGGCAGUUAUAAGAUUCCAAGCAAAAGGAAUUGUCCUGCAAGAAUAGGAAACAAUAAAGUUUCAGCAAUGAAAUACUACUUCCAGAUCCAGAUAUGGCCGAUACAAGAUUUUUUCUGGACAAGACAGACUACUAGCUAGCAGACCAUGGACAUAUGAUAUGGAUCAGAAACGACCAAACAUGACAGAAACUCUUAUAUGAAAAUUAAAAAAAAAAAGCCUUAAAAACAAGGAUUCAGAGUGUUUAUCGGUGUCAGCGACUACUUUCUCCAAAUUAAGCGUCUAAUAUAUUGAUAAAGCUGUGCAGUGGACGUGGAAAAGUAAUUAAUUUCCAUAAGCUCCCAUUGGCAUAAUACUAAAAUCACAGACCAAAAAUGUAUGGUUGUUAAGGAAAACCAAACCCUUCCAAAACCUACAAUGGCAGGUGCUUCCCUGGAUAGGCUUGACCUUAUUUCAAAUACUACAACCAUUUAUUCAAUUAACUCCAGUUGGAAAUUCACUCCCUGACAGCCUUACUGAUUAAUUUUGCAGAUCACAUUCCAUAAUUCAACCAAAUGCAGAAAAGAAUAAACAUAUAAAUGAAAUUAGGCAAAGGCUAAGCAGUAAUUAUCCAAUUACCGAGCUUAGUAUUAACAUAUAUUGUAUCGCAACAAAGAGGAGGAGGAGGAGAAAUAUGAGUACUUGGCGGGGAUAAGAGCAAGAUAUGAAGAAGCAGUAGGAAUAAUCUGCACAACAAUGUGGCCGCCCACAAGCACCACGGCAAGCCCUUUACACAACUUAGUGAAGCCCCCUGUCAACACGCCCUAAUUCCAAAUACAACGCACCCAAUUCUCAAUCAAUUUCACAGAUCUAAGUUCAAUAAGGAAAACCAAACCCUUCCAAAACCUACAAUGGCAGGUGCUUCCCUGGAUAGGCUUGACCUUAUUUCAAAUACUACAACCAUUUAUUCAAUUAACUCCAGUUGGAAAUUCACUCCCUGACAGCCUUACUGAUUAAUUUUGCAGAUCACAUUCCAUAAUUCAACCAAAUGCAGAAAAGAAUAAACAUAUAAAUGAAAUUAGGCAAAGGCUAAGCAGUAAUUAUCCAAUUACCGAGCUUAGUAUUAACAUAUAUUGUAUCGCAACAAAGAGGAGGAGGAGGAGAAAUAUGAGUACUUGGCGGGGAUAAGAGCAAGAUAUGAAGAAGCAGUAGGAAUAAUCUGCACAACAAUGUGGCCGCCCACAAGCACCACGGCAAGCCCUUUACACAACUUAGUGAAGCCCCCUGUCAACACGCCCUAAUUCCAAAUACAACGCACCCAAUUCUCAAUCAAUUUCACAGAUCUAAGUUCAAUAUGUCAGUAGAGCCUAAAAAAUAAACAUAAACUUGCGAUAUAUGUACACUUACGCCGCCGGAUAGUGGUGGAGUGCUCAUUGCUCAGAGGCUUUUUGGCUUCCACCGGCGGUCUUUUCAGUUUUUAACUCCGAUUAGAUCGAGCUAUAACGCUGCAAAUUUAUGCUAGGGUUUCUUUCUCUACUCUUUUCUAAUUUUGCAGAUUUUUAUGUAUUCUCUGAGUAAUGAUUCUACCAAUAAAUUUCUACUCCGAUUUUGAUUGAUAAUUCAGCUCCUCCGGCUUUCUUAGCUCUCAAGGUUUAAUAAUGAUCGUCUUUUGCCUUUGAAAUAGAUGGAUCACGCAAAAUUGCCUGGUCAGUCCCUCAAGUAUUUAUAAAAUCUAAUUUGUUUACCCAUAGUUCUUUAUUUUUUUAGGACAAAAUUUAAAAUGUUAUCUACUAUUGUCAAUUUGUUAUUGAUGAAAAUAAUUUUUUUUUUAAUGACAAAUACUUUGAAUUAUAUCCAACGAGUUCUACUCUGCACACCGUUAUAAAAUCUUUUUUUUUCUUGAGAAAAGCACGGAACAUAUUGUUUCUAUUCAAAGAAAUGAUUAAAAAAAAAUGAGAUAGUGUAUCGUAGGACGAGCGAUUUUCUUGUUUCGACUCAGAGAGAAGCUCACUCUCGAGUAGUAGUACUGUGUUUUAGCCAUGAAAAGGGCAGUGCCAUAUGCUUUUCACAGGUUUCUAUCGUUCAUUAAUUGUCAUUUUUAGCUUAUUAUUGUUUGACAUGGAGAAGUUAACAACUAAGGAUCUUUUUAGGGAAAAUCGUUCAAAACGUCCCCCACAUUUUGAAAAAUAACUUUUUUCAUCCUUCACUUUUAAAAAUGUAAUUUUACGUCCCUUACAAAUUCACAUUGAUCAAAUUUGGUCCCUACUUAGGUUUUCGACUAGUUUUUUGUCGGAAUUCACUACGUGCCUUCCACGUGAUUAUAUUUUAAGGGCAAAAUUAUCAAAUCAAAUUUUAGAUAAUUCGAUUCAUAAUCUCUCACAUUUCAUAAAAUAAAUUUUUUUGUCCCUUUCAUUUCACAAAAUGAAUUUUUUCAUUCUUCACAUUUUUCAAAAUGAAUUUUUUCAUCUUUUAUUUUAACAUGUGUGUGAAUAAUUUUUUUUUAAAUCCAUGUAUAUAUCUAUUUGAUUUCACCUGAACAGCACGAAUAGCAUGUGAAAUCAAAUAGAGAUAUAUUACAUAUUAUUCGUACUGCUCAAGUAAAAUCAAAUAGAUAUAUACAUCGGUUUAAAAAAAUUGUUAGUUUUUCACUUAUAUUCAUUUUCUUUUACUUGAAAUUUGAAAAUAAAGAAGAAAUUUAAUCCUAAAUAUUAUCGAGUGUUUAUAUCGAAUUAAAUUUGGACAGAAAAAGUAAACAAAAGAAAAGUAUGACAAAAAGAAAUUAGUGAUUGGUAUUUUCAAAUUUUAAGACAAUCACAAGGCAAGUAAUUCAACAAUUGGUCUUAAAAGUGUCGAAUAGAAAUUUCAGAUUUAAACUGAAAUUUGUUAAUUUGUUAGCACAAUUAUAGAAUUCGAGUUAGGACCCAUUAAUUAGAUGACCUUAUUAUACAAAUCAAUAAAUAAAUUAUUACCAAAAGAGAAAUGUCACAAAUAUUGAAUAUGUUCAAAUGGUGAAAUCAUAUAAAUAUAUACACCGGUUUCAAACAAAAUUAUUAGUUUUAAACCCCUAUAAAUAUAUAUUGAAUAGCAUAUGUAUAACUACGAUUAGUAUUUUUAGAUGAAAUCCAAUAAAGAUAAAUUACAUGUUAUUCGUACUGUUCAGGUAAAAUCAAAUAGACAUAUACGUGGGUUUAUAGAAAAAAAGUUAUUCAUACACAUGAUCAAUGAGGGAUGAAAAAAUUCAUUUUGAAAAAUGUGAGGGAUGGAAAAAUUCAUUUUUUGAAAUGUGAGGAACGAAACAAUUCAUUUUGUAAAAUGUUAGAGACAAAAAAAUUUAUUUUGUGAAAUGUGAGGGACUAUGAAUCAGAUUAUAUAAAAAUUCGAUUUGACAAUUUUGCCCUUAAAAAAUGAUCACAUGCAAGUCACGUGGUAAAUUCCGACCAAAAACUAGUCAGAAACCUAGGUGGAGACCAAAUUUGAUCAAUGUGAAUUGUAAGGGACGUAAACUUACACUUUUAAAAGUGAGAGACGAAAAAAGUCAUCUUAUAAAAUAUUAGAGACGUUUUGAACGAUUUUCCCAUCUUUUUAACCAUUGCAGGUUGGGCCACCCCAUAGAGUAGGUUUCCCCUCCCCUUAGGAGUAGGAGUAGGAUAGGCUAGGCUAGAUGUGCCGUUAAGCUAAAAAAAAAAAAAAAAAAACCAUUGCAGGUAACUAGAAAUGUUUUUUCACAUCGUUAAAGAAUGCUUAUGCUCAAGUGAUAGUGUGAUCAAUUCGGCCUAAAGAAGCAAGUUAAGAUCCAAGUUCAGACUGGAUAACAAAGGCACUAAAAUUAGCUGGCUGUCUUGUCUCAAUUCUCAAUGGACCAAAAGAUCCAUGCUCAAACUGGAAAGAGGUCAAUCACGGAGGAAAUAGAAAUUGGUAAAUGCAAGAACAAUUAAGCACUCUAAACCAAUAUGGUGAUUUCUCACUCUUUUACACUGUUAAAUCUCCUGAAACUAUACAGAAUAUACAACGUCUGCUAUGUUACAACUAAACAGCAUGAACAGUCGGCCUCUGUUGCCUGACAAAUUGCAGACACCCAUACAAACACGUCAUAUAACUCUCAAAUACAACUGAAGAGUAAGCAGCUCGAUCGCCUCCAUUCAUAGGUUAUGCAGGUGCCCAGGUGUAAUAACAAGUAUAC
rnacentral:lncRNA from 1 species